rnacentral:lncRNA from 1 species
UUCUACUCAAAUGAAGGCCCAUCCAUUCAUUCAUACAACAUUUACAUUGUCUACUACAAAAGAAAAUACAUCCCUUAAACCAGUUGACCAAAAGAAAAUACAUUGUCUACUACAUUGUAAGAAAUUGACUUUUGGUCAACUGUUGACUUUUUGGUCAACUGUUGACUUUUUGGUCAACCAGUUGACCAAACUCAACUAACCUAUUUGUCCAUCCCUUAAACCCCAGUGCCUAUGGCAUCUUCAUUCUUCCAUGUGAUUCCAUGAUCAUUUGCUUCAUGAACAAGAAAGCCAAUUUGCACCAAGUUUACUCACAUGCGCUGAAACUUUGCCAUGCCUUGAAACCAUGUCCAAUUGCCAAGCCAUCCCUGCAUCAAUUAGCCUACACACAUGCAUUUGUCAAGCAUACAAUGCAUUUCAUACAAACAUGCAUAGAUGAUCUAAGCACCAGGAAAACAUUGAGCAUGUUAACGAAAACAAGUAACAAGCAUGAUGCAAAUCAAGCAAUGCAGGGUUCAUUUGGGCAGGCAUACACUCACUUCAGUAAGAUGGUACCAACCAACAUCAACAUGGUAACAUGAACCUAUGCACAAAAUUAGUCUGCAUUCUUUUUCACAAGCCCUAGCUACCACCUAAUUGACCUAAUUUAACCUCAUUUCAUAACAUAAGCAAACUGGCAAUACAAUUUAUCAUGAUACAAGCAGGAUACAAUUUACAUCAAAUAACAUUUGACACACAAUCAUAACAGGCCUGACAUCAACAUCACAAGUAGCAUAAUAUAACAUCAUUCAAAGCAUACAAUGGUAAAGCUAUAACAUUCAUCAUGUAGCCGACCAAGCCAGGGGCAUCACAAAAUAAUAGCAUGGCAAUACAAAUCAUCAUCACAUCAGCAAUACAAUGUAUCUUGACACAACCUACACUGCAAAUUCUGUUAGCCAUGCCUUGCAUCAGCAUCACCAUGUUUGCACUGCAAUGCCAAAAUAGCUCAAACCUACAACUGAGCACGACUUGCAAUUAAACAAAACCUAUCAUAGCAGGUCAUAGUCUAUCAACACAACCUAUAAUUGAAACAUAACCUGUAGUUGGAAUGAAACUUGUUCAGCAGGUUAAUACCUUAUAGCCAUUAACACAUCAUCCACAUGACUUUGAUCAGUCACCUAUAGCAACUAGUCACCACUUUAUUCACUAACUAACCUGACUAACACUUUUAAAUCUAAUAAAUAACUUAAAAUUGGAAUUAACAGAAUUUAUCCCUAACUAAAACUUACGAAUUUCAAUGGUUAACAGAGUUAGGAUAUUCUAACUAACUUUCCACUGUGAUUAAUUAACAGAGUUUCAUCUAUUAACUCUCUCCAUCUAUAAAUUGACAUCACUCUGCAAUUAUCAUAGACGAUUAAUUUUGCUCAGAAAUCUCAGUCACAUUCUCUCAAUCACACAUAUCCACUCAUUAUGCACACAAUCUCCCUCGCUCUCAUAGAUAACAUGUAGAAGAAGAAGGAGAUUCAGAAUAUCUAAGAGGGGAGAAGAAGAUGAAAAAGAAGAAGAAGAAGUUUAGGAAGAAGAAUUGUACCUGAAGCUGGUUCAAACAUCUUCAUUUCCUCUAAUCUCAAGUCUUCGUCUCCGGAAAGUAAGUGACGUUUCUUCACUGUUUGGCUUUAUCCUUGUUACCACUAUGUAGCUUAGGGGACAAGAAAUCAAAGCCCUAACAUCAGGGGCUUUGAUUCCUCUAUAGAAGCAUUUAAUUUAAUUUCUUGAUGUUAGGGUUCAUAAUAGUCUCUGCUCGAUUUGGGGAAUUCUUGAGGUUUUAGUAGAAUUCAGUGUUUGAUUCGAGUAGAGCUUGAGAAUUAGAGUGGAAUGGCAUAGGUAGUUUUGAUGUUUGAUGCUCCAUUGCCGCCGGUGGUGAGCUCCGACACGGUGGAGAGGGAGAAAUCAAUGGUGGACUUUUUUAAUUAGUCUAAGCAUGUGGAAAACGAUUAACAUGUGGAACACAUGCUCUUUGUUUUAUCUGAGUUUCCUUCCCUCUCAAUCCCAGAAUGUGCCAAUGGCUCCCUAGGCCCAAACUUUCUUGUUGUUUGCAUCCUAAACUCUUAUACGCCCCCUGCUUCAAAGCUGAAAGUGGCAAAUGGGCCUUGUGUUAGGCCCUGCUCCCUGCAUUCUCUAUUUUUCAGCAAACCCCUUGUUUCUAUUUCUUCUAUCUUUGUGACUUUUAAUUAUUUAUCAUGUUAUUUUUAACAUUUAUUUGAUAGAAAAAUAAUGGAAAAUAAUAAUUGUUUUAAUAUAUAAUUUUAGAAUUAGUAUAAUGUUAACUUUAGAAUAAAAUGAUAUUUGUUUUUUCUUGAAUUUUGGAAUUAAUUGAAUAAUCACGUUUACCAUGUUAAUUAGAAUUCCAAUUCUUUUUAGGUUUAAUUCAUGUAAAUAAUUGAUAACCAUUGUAUCAUUAACAUGCUCCCUUAGUUGAGGUUUAUUUUUAGAAUCAAGUUUAGCAUGAUGCGAUUAAUUCUUUAGGGUUUUUAGACUAUUAAUCCAUUGUACAUAACUCAAUUUAUUUUCAUUCCCACUGAUUGAGUUGAUCAAAGUUGACUUUGGUCAAUCAAAUCCUUUGAUUUGCGCUCAUUCCCUAAGCUUGUCCAAGUGAAAAGAACCUUGAUCACUUGAUAAGGCAAGCCCCUGGUAUUGAAACUGUACUAGAUAUCAAGACUUCAAACUCAAGAUCAACACUUCACACCUCAAGUCAAUAUAAGUCAAGCAUUGUAGAUAGACCAGACUACUAUUCAAGCAUAACAAAUGUGUAUUAACAUUUAUCAAUCACAAUUUAAAUUAUGCACUGUAAGCCUUAAGCAAUAGAGAAGGGGUGAGAGAGAAAAUUCUUAUCCUCAUUCUGAAUAUCCUUGGGUACGAGACGAAUGACUCAGUUGCUCAGAGUAUUCACCUUUAUUCAUAGACUUUAGCACAAUUCAAAUCAAAUGAUUGCCAAGUCUUCUCCUACAAAAUGCAAUUUUGCAUCAUCAUAAUCAACAAGCAGAAUCUUCUUCAACACUUGUUAAUCAAGAUGAGAGUUACACGCCACGAGCCUUAAGUAACGAAGAAUGAUGAGAGAGAGCAUUCAUAUCCUUGUCUAGAGUAUCUUUGAGUACGAUGCGUAUGCCCUAUUUUCUCAAGGUAUUCACCUUUGUUCAUAGACUUUAGUGUAAUUCAAGCCAGGUAAUUGACAAGGUCUUCUUCAGGCAAACACAUCAACAACUCGACACUUCAACAUUGCAGUACCAUUGCCUCACUACACUCUCCUCUUUGGAUUCAGUAUCCUCCUCUUCCUUGACAUACAUAUCUCCUUUGGGUUAAUCACCUCAUGGUUAAACCUCAUCUCAGAAUCAAUUGCUUCAUGCACUUUGUCGCGGCUGGAAAAUUACAGAGUCGCCAUCAUCCUUUAUCCGUUCCUAAGGAAUAGGGAAAUAAUGAUAAAACGUAAUGGUUAGGGGUGAGAGACUAGGUUCGUGAGUCGGUUAAGUGAAAGGAAUGUACUAUGCACCCCUCACAUCUAUUGUACUCAAUGAGAUCCUCCUCUAAAUCUAGGGUUAGUGUGUGUUUAUAAAGAAAGUUUGCUUUGUUAUCUAUUAAUUGUUUAAUUAUUAUUUAUUUACAAAAAUGUUUUAUUAUUAAAAAAAGAAAAUUUAUUAAGAGGAGAAGACCAAUGUACCAUCAAGUUCAUUGAAGGAUCAAAGCAUCGUAGUUUUUGUAAAAAAAUGUUGGUUUGUUUUGUUAUUUUUAUCCCUCGAAAAGUUCUCACACAUCGGGGCGGAUAAGUAAUUGAUUUUUGAAAAAUGCAUCAAUGCACUUAGGCAGAGAACCUAUCGUUUGAGGUGCGUUAGAUUGAUUUUAUCCUUUGGUUGAUUUGUAAAGAUAUAAUGAUUAAUUUAUUUAAGAAAAUAAAUUAAUAAUGAUAUUAUUUAUUUACUUAGUAAAAAUAUUAAAAGGUUAAUCAUAUAAACUCAAAUAUUAUAUCCCUUAUCCUUGACUUUUUUAUCCCUAAAACCCUAAAAUUUUCUUAGAGAUUUAUUCCAUGAUUAUCCCUAUUAUUCAUUACAAAAAAUAUAUAUAAUACUUAACUUAUUUAUGAAAAUAAAUAUUAUAUAUAUGACAUAACCCUUAUCCCGAUCUAUAUCCCUGAUUUAUAUCCCUUGAUUUAUCCCUUGAUUUUAUCCCUAGAUUUUAUCCCUUAAAAUCCUAGGAUUUUAUCCCUUGAUUUAUCCCUUGUUUUUAUCCCUUAAAAAAAACCUAGAAUUUUAUCUCAUACUCAUCCCCAAUUUUUAUCCCAAAUUUCUAUCGCAUAAUUAUCCCAAAAAAUCUCAAUCAAUUAACCAUAAUUUUUCAUUAUAUUAAUCCCUAAUCAAUUAAAUAUUGUUCUCUUAAUUAUUUGAAUAAUAGAAAAUAAAAAAAAUCAAACUAUAAAAAUAAAUAAAAUAUUAAAAUAUUGAAAACCCUAAUUAUUAACUUAAUUACACCAAUCUAAUGUUAAUCGAUUUAAUAAACCAACCUUAAUAAUUAAUUAAAUAAAACUAUAUAUUAAUUAACUAAAAUAAAUAAAUAAAUAAAUAGGGGGAGAAAAUAUUUGAUUUGAAAAUGUCUCAAUACAUAAGGGCAUAAGACUUGAAGUUUAAGUGAGUGAAGUUGAUUUUAAUUGUUUGUUAAUUUUAAAAAAAUAUAAUAAUUAGUUUGGUUUAGAAAAUAAACCCAUAAAAGAUGUAUAAUUAUUUUAUGUUAAAUGAAAACAAGUUAAUUAUAAAGAUUAAUAUUAUAUUUCAUAUCCCUUAUCUCUUAAUUAGUAUCCCUAAUUACAUAAUUAAAACCCUAAAAUGUUGUUGUUUAGGUGAGUGUUGUUGUUUUUCAAUACGAAGAGCAACAACUUUAGGAUAGAUAGUAAGUAUGUAAUUGUGGAUGUCAAAUUGGUGUAGAAAAUAAGGCUAUUUAUAAGUGAAGAUUAGGUCAAUAUAAUAAAUGUGAUUGGUGAAUCUGAGAUUUGAUUGGAACUUGAGGACCAAAUUUGUACAAAUUAUGAAGUAUCUAUGAACUUGUAUCUUCUCAUUGAUUUGAUGAUGAAAAAGAUUGGUUUUGAGAAGAUUCUUGCUUUUUUUGAAUUUUAGGCUAUUUUGUGCAUAAAAUCAAAGAUAAAAAAUAUAAAAAAAUAAAAAUUUGAAAAUGCCUAUAAAUAAUAAAUGAAAAUAAUAUUUAAAUACUAAAAAAUAAAUCAAUAUUUGACUAUUUGACCAUUUUUCAAUAAAAAUAACCAAACAGAAAAUAAUUGCAAAAAAAAUAGUGCAGUGACAUUUUUUUAUACAAAUAUUAGGCUAACUAAAAAUGAAUAAAAUUUAAUUAAAGUAUCAAAUAAAAACAACUUUAUUUUAUUUUUACUUAUGACUAUUUUUGAUUAAUCACAUUGAUUAUCUCCUAAAAUAGAAAAAAAUACAAUAAUUAAAAAUCUUUCAAAAUAUUUUAUUAUCUUUUAUUAUUUUAAAUGAAAAUCAAAUGAAAUGAAGUUAUGUCGAUAAAACGAAUGUUCAUCAUGAAUAGGAGAUGAAAAUACAGUUAGGUAUUCAUCAAGAAGAAGUUAGUUACAUUCAAGAAGAAGAAGAAGAAGAAGAAAGUAUUGUUUCAUUGAUUGAUUAAUAAUGAUUACAACUUGGUUUAUAUAUACACAAAAUAGUGCUAUGUACUGUAAGCUAAGGUGUGGCCUAUGUACAAUAUAAUGUGUUAUCUCUAAUAUCCCCCGUCAAGGUGGACUUUGGAUACUACAAAGACCAAGCUUGGAUAAAAGAGAAGUAAAUUAGGAGAAUGUAAAGGCUUAGUGAACACAUCUGCUAAUUGUUCUUUAGUAGAGAUAGGCAUCAAGUGAAUGAGUUUGAACACAAUCUUUUCUCAAAUAACAUGACAGUCCAACUCAAUGUGCUUACUCCUCUCAUGAAAUGUAGGAUUGUGAGCAAGGUAUACUGCUGAUUUGCUGUCACAGUAAACAGAAGCAUCCUGAGGAAACUCAAUGAGGAAAUCUCGAAAAAGAAAUUGAAGCCAUUGCAGUUCACAAGAUAAGGAGGCCAAAGCUCUGUAUUCGGCUUCAGUGGAAGAACGAGAAACAAUGUUUUGUUUCUUAGAUUUCCAGCAAAUGAGUGAGGAUCCAAGGAUAACAUAAAACCCUGUAAUUGAUUUUCGAGUUUCUGGGCAUCUGGCCCAAUCUGAAUCUGCAAAACCAUAUAGUUUGAGAGGACUAGCAGCAGAAAAAAGGAUUCCCUUAGCAGGUGCAGACUUGAGAUAUCUUAGGAUUCUAGUGGCAGCCUGAUAAUGAGGGGCAAGAGGCUUUGCAACAUACUGACUCAAAUGUUGUACAACAUAAGAUAUAUCAGGCCUGCUAUUUGUAAGGUAGAUUAAGCGACCAAUAAGUCUCCUGUAAGAGGAGGGAUCAGCAAGAGGUUGACCAACUGAAGUAGACAACUUUAUAUUGGGGCCAAAUGGUACAGAAGAUGGUUUGGCUUCCAAAUAACCUGUGUCUUCAAGCAAAUGGAGGGUAUAUUUCCUUUGAUUCAUGAAAAUACCUUUAGUUGACCUAGCAAUCUCAAAGCCUAAAAAGUAUCUCAGCUUGCCUAAGUCUUUGAUGCUAAAUUGUUGAUCCAAAAGAUGCUUAACAAAAUGAAUUUCAUCAAGGGAAUUACCAACUAAAACUAUGUCAUCCACAUACACUAGUAAAGCUGUGAAACUGGUGGAGGUGGAUUUAACAUACAAAGAACAGUCAGCUUGAGAUUGUGAAUAGCCAAGAGACAUCAAAAAAGAAGAAAGUUUAGCAUACCAUUGCCUACUAGCUUGCUUCAAGCCAUAUAAAUAUUUGGGAAGUCUGCAGACCUGUGAGGAAUUAGAAGUAACUAGGCCAGAAGGUAAUGUCAUAUACACUUCUUCAUGUAAAUCUACAUGCAAAAAGGAAUUGUUAACAUCUAGUUGCUCUAGGGGCCAACCUUUGAUUGAAGCUAUAGACAAAAGAACUCGAACUGUGGUAAUCUUAGCCACAGGAGAAAAGGUAUCAAAGUAGUCUACUCCCUCCAUUUGUGUAUAACCCUUUGCCACAAGUCUGGCUUUAUAUCCUUCUAUGGAUCCAUCUUCCUUAUAUUUCACCUUAUAGACCCAUCUGCAUCCAAUUGGCACCUUACCAGGUGGAAGAUCCACUAAUGUCCAAGUAUGAUUAUCAGCAAGAGCCUGCAAUUCAACAUUCAUAGAAUGCUUCCAAUAUUCAAAUUUGUUAGCCUGUUGAAAACUGGAUGGUUCAGGAUUAGAGGAAAUGGAGCAACAAAAAUGAUGAAAAUCUGGAGAGAAAUUGUUGUAAGACAAAACUGAAGACAGGGGAUAAAGAAUUUUAGAGGAAGAAGAAUUGGCAGAAGUAGAAAAACAAUGAUAAUUAGCAAGGUAUGAGGGAGGAUUAGAGACUCUAGUAUAAUGUCUUAUAGGAGUCUGAUCACAAUAUGGAGAAUUAUUAUCAUUAUUAUUCACAGGAGCAGGAGCAGGACUGAUGGAUAAAGAGGAUGGUGGAAAGUUAUGGACAGGAGAGCUAGGGCUGAUAUUAUCAUUAAUGAGAAGGUUGGGAGGAGAACCUGAGUUGGGAGUAUCAGGGACAUUGGAUAAUGUAUUGUCUUAUGGAUGCAGGGUAUGCAAGUUAUUGUCUAAUGUUUCAAUGGGGGUUGUAUCAUCACAUAAAGGAAGGUCAGGGUUUGUACUAACAUCACAGGGAGAAGCAGAACUAUGGCUAUCUUGAGAUUUGAAUGGAAAGAUGUUUUCAUAAAAGACAACCUGUCUUGAGACAAAAAUACUGUGAUGGGUCAAAUCAUAUAGGAUAUAGCCCUUAGUUCCCUCUUUAUAGCCUAUAAAGACAGCCUUGCAUGCCCUAUGGUCAAACUUGGUCCUAUGGGCCAUAAGAGAGGUGGCAUAGCUUAGACAUCCAAACACUUUAAGGUGAAUAAGGGAGGGAGGCUCUUGGUAUAGAAUUUCAUAAGGGCAUUUUAAUAACAUGGAUAGCUUGAUGCACACAAAAAUUCCACAUUGUUAAAGGCACAUUGGAUUGAAAGUGUAGGGCCCUAGCUACAUUAAGUAUAUGUUGAUGUUUCCUCUCAACAAUCCUAUUUUGUUGAGGGGUUUCAACACAAGUUUUUUGAUGUAGAAUGCCCUUAGCAGAAAGGAAACUGUGUAAGGCUAGAAAUUUUGUACCAUUAUCAGACCUCAAGCAUUUUAUAUGUUUAUUAAAUUGUUUCUCAACAUAUGAUACAAAGUUUAUAAGACUGUCUUUAGUUUCAUCUUUGGUUUUAAGAAAAAUCACCAAUGUGAACCUAGAAUGAUCAUCAACUAGAGUGAGAGAGUAUUUGUGUCCUAACAUAGAGAUAGUAGAAAAGGGACCCCAUAAGUCAGCAUGAAGAAUGUCAAAAACACCAUUAGUGCAAGUAACACUAUCAGGAAAGGGAAGUUUUCUUUGUUUGGCAAAAUGACAAGAAUCACAAGGGGAAACAUUAUCUUUACAAGAAACAGGAGGAAAUUUUUUUGCUAUGGUUUGUGAACCUUUAUGAGAUGGAUGGCCUAGCCUCAUAUGCCAUAUAUCACCAUCAUUAGGAGAUACAGAAUUACAAGAAGCAUGGAAAACAUUGGAAUGAAUGACAUAUAAGCCAUAUUGCAAGUCAGCUAUACCAAUCGUUUCCAUGGAAGGGUUAUUCAUAAUAGAACAAGAGUUAGCAGUGAAUUGAACAAAACAAUUGUUGCUUUGAGACAAUUUUGCUACAAUGAUAAGAUUUACAUUGAAAGAGGGAAUGUAAAGGACAUUCUGCAGUGUUAAAGAUGGUGUAAGUUUGACAAAGCCAGAAAUUGAAGCAGAUAAUUGGGAACCAUUAGGUAAAGUGACAGAGAUAGGAACAAUAUUAUGAUAACUAGUAAAGGCUGAAAGAUUAAAGGAUAUAUGAUUUGUAGCUCCUGUAUCAAGGAUCCACAAAGAAGGAGACUUACCAUUGGCAGUGGAAGACAAAGAAUUUAGCACAAGAGGAGAUAUAGACACUGAAUUAGCUGUGGAAACAGGUUUUGAAUGUUGAAGCAGUGCCAAAAUGUUGUUGUAUUGCUCUUGAGCCAAGCCAUAAGAGGGAUUAGUGGAACUUGAACCUGAUGCAGGUGUCUCUGAUGCAUUGUUGGUUGUUGUAGACUGUUGAGAACUGAAUCUAUUGCCUUUGGUCUUGUUCUUAAAGCCUGGUGGAUACCCAUGCUUGAUGAAACAAGUAUCAAUGGUAUGGUUAUUUCUUCCACAGUGAGUACAGACACGAUUUUGACCUCUUGAACCGGCUGCACCCUGAUAUUUUCCUCUAUACGAAUUGGAUUUGUUUGGCUGAGCAUCAUGAGAUACAUUCAAAUCUAUGCUCCCUUCAGGGUUGCCAACAACAGGAAGAACUGCAGAAAUAGCAUUAUUCAUUUCUCUUUCUUGUUGAAUCACCAAAGAGAAAGUCUUAUCAAUAUCAGGUAGCGGGUUCAUCAUCAUGAUUUGGCUCUUGGAAUGAGUGAAUUUCUCAUUCAAACCCUUAAGGAAUCGAAUCACAUAGUCUUGAUCCCUAUAAUGGCGAAUCGAUGCAGAAGCACCACAAGAACAUGGAAUCGCACAGGAACAAGAUGGAAUUGGACGAUAAGUUUCCAAUUCAUCCCACAGAACUUUCAAAUGAGUAAAAUAAUUGGAUACAUCUAAGGUACCUUGACGGAACUUGUAAAGAUCUUCUUGAAUGUCAGAUAAGUUUCCAAUUCAUCCCACAGAACUUUCAAAUGAGUAAAAUAAUUGGAUACAUCUAAGGUACCUUGACGGAACUUGUAAAGAUCUUCUUGAAUGUCAGAUAUGCGGAAAAUGUCACUAUGAGAAAAUCGAACCUGCAGAUUCUUCCACACACCCGCAGUUGUGUCAAUCCAUAGAACCGAUCGUGCAAUUGAUGCAGAGAUUGAGCGUUGUAUCCAUGCAAGAACCAUCGUGUUGCAACGAAUCCACAACACAUAAAGAAUGUCUGAAACAACGGGUUUGGGAAGAGUAUCGUCGAUGAAUUUGUCUUUGUUCUUGGAGAUUAACGCGAUUUGCAUUAGACGAGACCGGGUGUGGUAAUUUUUGUCAUCGAGCGGUGAAGAAACGAGAACAAGAGCCGGAUUCUCGUUCGGAUGCAGAUAAUAGGGAUUAGCAGAGUUGGUAGUGAAAUCUGUAAAGCUCUGUGCAACCAUUGUUGCAGAGAAAUAACAAGAAGGAAGAAAGGUGAAGAACAAUGGCUACCAAAGCUGGGAUAGCUUUGAUACCAUGUCGAUAAAACGAAUGCUCAUCAUGAAUAGGAGAUGAAAAUACAGUUAGGUAUUCAUCAAGAAGAAGUUAGUUACAUUCAAGAAGAAGAAAAAGAAGAAGAAGAAGAAAGUAAUGUUUCAUUGAUUGAUUAAUACUGAUUACAACUUGGUUUAUAUAUACACAAAAUAGUGUUAUGUACUAUAAGCUAAGGUGUGGCCUAUGUACAAUAUAAUGUGCUAUCUCUAAUAAGUUACUAUCCUAAAAUGAAACAAGAUCUUUCCAAAUAUUUUUUUUUAUGAUUUUUGGUUAUGUUUUAAUAAAAAGUGAAAAUAAUAAUAUUUUAAAAAUGUAUAAAUAAGAAAUACGAAAAUUAAUAAAAUAUGGUUAAAAAAUGAAAAAUUGAUUUUUUUUGUUGUAAAAAAGUAAAAACAAAUGAAAAAGAGAAAAUGCACUAAAAAUGAGAAAUGUCUAUCCUAUUUAUAUUUCUUAGGAAUUAUGUUUAACUCUAAAAAUGUCUUAAAUCUGAUCACAACUAAUCAAAAUAAUAAAAACCUAUGAAUCAAAUUUAUUUGAUUUUUGAUUUAUGCCCAUUUUGAUCAAUUUUGCUGAUUUUUCUACAAUUAACAUAAACUAUCCUAAAAUGAAAAAAGAACAAAACCUCUCUUUUAUUAUGUUUUUAAUGAAAAUCAAAUUAAAUCACCAUCCUAAAAAAAGAGCAAAAUAUUUUCAAAUAUUUUUAUUUUGUGAUUUUUUUACUAUUUUAUGCAUAAAAUCACAAUUUUAAUGAAAAUGGACUAUUAGGUUCAUUCUAACUAGAAUAGAACCCAAAGAGUAAUAUGUUAAAGAAAACUUGAUUUCCCAUUUUGACCAUUCUUACAAAUGUUAUUAAUACUAUAGUUUUUUGUUUCUUUUUAUAAAUGCAUAAGAAAUAGUAUCUGAUUUAAAAAAGAAGAAAACUUUAAAAUAAUUUUUUAAAAAAUGCAAUUUAUUUAUUAUUUUUCUUUGUAAAAAACAAAAAGGUAAAAAAAUGAAAUUGUGUUAAUACGAAAGUUAGGACUCGAGCCCGAGACCGUAUGAUCGUGCUUCUUACACAUGCUCUCUUGUCAAAUACACCAUUUCAUUUAUUCAAAAUAAAGUGACACCAAAAAAUAUAUGAAGGGUGGUCAAAAUUUGGGGUACGACACAUUGCCUAUACAGUUACAGACUUUGGCAUCUUUCUUCUUUGCCUAUAAAUUUAAAGACUUUGGCACCCUUUUUCCUUGCCCUGUAUAGUCACAAACUAUGGCAAUCUAUCUUUUACCCUAUAGAGCUACAGACUCUGGCAACCCUGCUUUUUGCCUUAAAGAGUUACAAACUUUGGCAAAGCCCCAUUUCAUUCAGCCUAUACAGUUACAGACUUUGGCAUUAUUUCUCUUUUCCCUUAUAGAGUUACAAAUUGUGGAAAUCUUUUCUUUCUGCCUUAUAUAUAGUUAUAGACUAUGGCACACAUCAUUGCAUUUUGCCCUACAAAGUUACAGACUUUGGCAAAUAGGCAUUUCAUUGUAGAGUUACAGACUCUGGCCUUUUUUAUCCUGCCUAUACAGUUACAAACUUUGGAUAUCUCUCAUUCUACCCUGUAAGGUUACAGACCCUGGCAAACAUCUUUACCUACCUUGUAGAGUUACGAACUUUGGUAGCAUCCUUUGUUCAAACCAUGCUUUCACUAUUCAAACAAUCAUCUCUCAUUUGCCACUUUGGCUAAACACCAUAUAUUGGUUAAUGCCACACUCUUACUAUUCAAGUAAUUUGCUUCGCAUCUUGGCAACCAAUCAACUCUUUCUUUCUUUGUUCCGCAUUAGUUCCCCGAACUACGGAGCUCUGACUUUCUCAUUACACUGUAAGAAUACGUAGGCCCGAGGAUUCAAAUCCUCCACGAGCAUAUUUAUUAUUAUUUCUUCUUCUGCCUUAGGGCACCAUCCAGGUCUUUCAUUAUCCAUCAUUCAAUAUCUUCAAUCAAAUCAUUCACAUCAAUGAUAUAUUGUUCUGUUUAAACCAAAUACACUAUUUCUUUGAGUUUCGUACAUGCCUUCGGGCCAAUAACCAAUUCCUGCCUUUGAACCAAGAGUCUUUUAUUUGUCUUGUAUAGACAAACUAUCCCUUUUGUUUCGCUUUUCUUGAAAGUCCUUAUAUAGGCAAAAACCCUUUGUUUUUGGCUUGACACCAACUUUUCUGAUUGGUUCAGACAUACCUACCAUAUGGGUUCAAACAACAUUAUCCUUUGGUUUAAACCAUACACUUAUCACAACUUCUUUCAUCUCUCACCUUUAGUUCUAUGACCUAUGGAGCUCUGAAUUCCUUAUUGCACUAUAAGGAUACGUAGGCAUGAAGGCUGUAAUCCUCACCAAGCACUUUAUCUAUUCCAUUCUUUUCCCCUUUAUCUUUUGCGAGUAAUCUUUAGAUAGUAACACCCGUUCGAUCAUAGAACAAUCAAAAUGGUUCCUAUUGAGUACAACAGAUGUGAGGGAUGCUAAUGCAUUCCCCUUGCCUAACUGACUUCAUUACCCAUUUUCGUCCCCCCUGGGUUUUUAUCGAUGUUUUCCCUUUUCUUCGAGAAUAAAUAAAGUUCGUUUGCGACUCUGUUGUAUCUUCGAGCAUGCGAUAUGCUCGAAUAUUUUUUGCGUAGCUUAAAGAAGCUUAUCUAAAAAUCUUCAUUUGUGAUGUCCCUGGAGAAGUGUUUCCAACCUUGGUAAGGACUUUUUACCCCAACCUCAAUAUGUCUGAGGGAUCCUCUCUAGUGAAUUGAAGAAACAUAAAAUCAAGAGGAAGAAUAAAGCUGACAAGAAGAUGAACACUUUGGCAUAGAUGCUCACAGAAAAUGGAUCUCAAAUGCCUUAUGGAGUAUUCAACGAUAAUGAUGAUUAUAAGUAGUUUAGCUUAUUUGUGUUUUUCGUUGUGUUUUUUGCUUUGAAUUAUAGUUAUUUUUUGUUUUGGACUUGAAUUCAUACAUUUUAAUCAAUGAAUUAUGUUUUAUGUUUUAAGUUCUUCUGCAUGUUUUGGUGAUCUAUGUGCUUGAAUUCUUGUCAUAUUUAUUUAUCAGUUUUUUCCUCCUUUUUGAUAAUGCCAAAUAGGGAGAAGUAUACUCUUAGGGGGAGUAAGGUAUACUCUUUAUAUUUAUCAGGGAGAUUUUAACUACUCUAAGAUAUCACCUUUGUUUCUUUGUUUUUUCACCUCUCUGAGAGAUGUGUUGUCAUCAUAAAAAUGAGGAUAAUAUGGAUCUAUGUGCUUGGUGGUAUGAUGUAUGCAUCGACUUGUUUGUUCUUGAUAUUGACAACACUCUCAAGUGAAGUCUUAAUCAUAAGUGAUAAUAAAGUCCACCUAUUAUUAAUGACAAAACUAUUAAACGAAUUCAUCAUUAGAUGUGGUGAUCAAGUUAUGGUGCUUGGAGCUCAAGAUGUGAAAGCCUUUCUUCGAAAGACAUAACCUUAUAUGAAGCAGCAUUCAGUGAAGCUAGUGAAGAUCUAUGAUCAAGAAAUGUGUAGGAUAAUGGUGUCCAUCUUGAAUAGUUAUCUCAAACCUAUAAGAAGACUAUUCAAGGUUCCAAUAAAGUGCUAAAGUCAAAGGCAAUGUAGUAAGGAUCCUAAAGCUUCAGAGUUGUGAAAGAGAGAAACGAUGGAAGCUCAUCGAGUAUGUGCCGAGCGGUCUGCGUAUGUAAAGGUAUAAGACUAACUCUCAAUUUUACCAACGCAAAUCACAUACAUACUUUUGAAUAGUUGGAAAGCCUCUCUCAUUUUACUAAAACCACGAGAAAAUGUUUUUAAGCCUAGCUAGUUGGAUAAAUGUUCAAAAAGUUCUUUAUUAGAGAAAUCUACAUUGUAGUUGAUUAGUCCUUAGGCUUAAUCGAUAAUCCCUUUUUGUAAUGCCUCAUAAUCAACAAUUAUGGCUAAUAAUUGACUAGUAACUGCUCUUUUGAAAUCCUUCUAUUUUUGUACUAUAAUUGAUUAUGUCAUGUGCUUAAUCAAUUAUCAACAUUAAAAAGGUCCAUGAAUCUUUUCCUUUUUGAGCCAAUUUUUAUCCUAUAAAUAGAGGGAUCCUCUUCAAUUCAUUUACACCAUGAAAUAUAUUUGAAACAUAUUUCUCUCACUCUCCUUUAUCCCUCUUUAGUUUCUCAUGUUUGCCUUAGUUCUUUUGAGAGUGGAGUUUUAUAUCUACGAGGUAUUUGGGUAAGGUGUAAAGGCAAUAUUGCAAAAUAAACAUAGGAGAUAUUUUAUUUUGGUUAUGAGUUAAAAUAAGUGAAAAGCUCUUGUUUGGUUAUUGAGUUAAACCAGUUAAAACUUCUGUUUGGUUGGGAGGUAUCAUUUAUUAAAACUCUAAGUCGAUUUGCGAGCUUAGCCCAAUGUUAACAGCCCUUUGUUGGUUUGAGAUUUUCCUGGUGGUAAGAUCUCUUCUUGGGAGGUGUCCAUAGUUUAAACUUUGUAUUUUUUUGGGGAAUUUACUCAUUAUAAAACUCAAAUCCACUAAUACAAAAAAAAACACAUUUUACGUCGGGCAUCAAGGGAAUUUUACCUCGGUUACACAAGUGAGGUAACAAAGGGCGUCAUGAAAACUUUCCACUUUACCCCUCGGUUUCUGAUUAACCGAGUGGAUAUUUGAAAUGGUCAUCGGUUUGAUCCCUAGAAACAACAUUUUUAUAUUUUCAAAACUAGUGUCACGCACCUCUCGGUUUCUAUCAAAAAUAAAGGGGAAAAUGAUACCUUAUAUAUAUAUAUAUAUAUAUAUAUUUAAAUACAAAUUACAUUGUUUACAAAUAUCCAUUUAUUUAUUAAAAUACCAAGUUUCUUAUGUUAAAUUUUUUUUAUUUCAAUCUACAAGUACACACUUUUGACAAAUAUGAUUCAUCAUCAUUGCUGUUAUUCUUGGAGAAUAACAAAUCCAGAGUUUGUUGCAUACCCAUUGCUUUUCAAGUUGAAUGGCUAUUCACUCAUCCAAUUUCUGAUAUAACAUAAAAAAAGUUAGAUAUAUAACAUAAAAUUCCAGUUAAAAGAAAGAUAUUAUGUAAGUACACCAAUCUUGGAAGAAAUAUUUUUUUGCACUUGAAAUUCAUCCCAGAGAUCUUCCAAGCCUCUUUAAAUUUUACUGUUUUUAUGGAAAAUGCUUUCAUUAUCAAUGUUUGAAUUUCACAAGAUAGAGUCCAAUAUAUAUAGUGGUGGUGUUCGCGUUCUUACUGGAUGUAGAUGGUUUCUUGUGGAAUGAUGUAUUGACAAUAUCUUUAGCGUUAUUACUUUAUAAAUGUAGGACAUUGAUUCGUUGUAGGUUGACUGAAGUAAUAUAUUACUUGCAAAAAAAUGGUGAAUGAUAAAUAUUUUAAAGUAACAUGUAGUGUUUCCUUUUUCAAUUUUUUUACCAUUCACUGCUUUCUUUGUGUGCUGCAAUAUUCAAAUUAAGAUUUUCAAGAUCUUUUAUUGUGAAAUAACAAUAUUGCUAGCAAUCUACAAUAUGUUUAGGAAUAACUUUCUCGAUGUUGUCAACCAAGGAAAACAAUAAAUUAUGGAGUGUUUUCUUUGACUGACAAUGUAAGAAGGUUAUUCCAAAAUAUAAUAAUGGUAUUGCAAGAUGUAGAUACAACAACAACCAACUUUUUCAUUCAAGUUUUUCUAGGUAUUCCAUAUUUUUACAUGUCAGAGCCUCACUUGUAAUAAGUCUAGCUUGUUAUUCAUAGUGAAACACCCAUUUUUCCUCCAAUUUCAGGAACAUGAACUUUUUCACAUGUUCUUUUUGAAUUUCUAUUUAUUUUCUCUUUUUUAAACGUGAAUUAUAAAUAUCUCUCUUCUUUUAUAACUCUAUUUACUAGUGUUUUCCUCCCUUAGACUAAAUCCUAAGUCACAACUUAUUAUGUUGUCUAAAGCAAUUAAAAUUACUAAAGAGACUAACUACUUCUCUGACUUGUUUUGACAUGAUAUGAGUUCAUCAAUUGCCAAGUUACAAUUAAUGCAUAAUAUUUUAAUUUCUAUUAAGACUUUGUUUCCAAUAUUUUUCAACAGACCAAUUUAGAAGAAACAAAAGUUGUUAUGGUUAAGAAAUUCUACUAACGAGAGAUUAAAUUAAUAACUUAUUUAUUUUUUCAAUUUAAGUUUAAUUAAAAACUUAAAAACUUUGUAUUGCUCAAACAAACAACAACAUAAAACAAUAACAACAACAAAUGUGCCACACACACGAAACUUAAAGUAAGAACAAUGUCCUCACUGAAAGCCUGAUGAUUUGUGGCAUAUCAAAACCUAACAUUUUAAAGACUGAAACUAAAACUAAUAUUUUAAUAAGGUGUGUUUGUUUAGAUGGUUCGAUACCUAGUAAGCCUGGAGCCUACUGCAUUUUCUCGCUCCUUAUGCUUUCUUAGUUUGCUUCCUUUUAUUAGCCUUUUCUUCCUUCUUGCCAUUCUUUGUCUUGGUCUCCCUGUUUUUUGGCUCAACUUUUUCUUCAGAAGCAACGAUUGAUUUCAUCUUCUUGGUCUUCAUUUUUUGAGAAGACUUAAUGGUCCUUUGUUUCUCAACUGGAGUAGGAUGAGUGACAACUUCUAUCACGUUAUAUCAAACCACAGAAAGAUAUGUUUGAUUGUCGAUUUUGACUAUAACGAUGUGUAGCUAAGGUCGUUGGAACAAAAUUGAUUGAUACUAUAUCCCUUGUUUUUUAUGAUAACAAAGUAUUUAAAUAACAAUUGGGUAUUUUAACAUUUGUUAAAGUAUGUGAGAUUAUAAAACUAAGAAUAGAUGAAUAGAAGCUUUAAGAUUCUGAAUCUAAAGUUCAGACACUGGCUCUGAAGAUCAAUUUUGAAGACUCUCGCUCUGAUGGAAGAUCCAGACUUUGAAGAAGUCAACAUCUGAAGAGAGUUAGCCUCUAGUGAUCCAGGCUCUGAAGCUUUAUAAGCCAAGUAGUAGACUUUGAAGAGAUCAUCCUCUAAAGAGUGCAGUGUGAAGAAAGUCAACCUUUGAAGGUUGUCCAAUCUCUUCUGAAGGUGAGAAAAACACAAGAGGGGCUUGAAUUGUGUUGGCUUUUCUCAAACUUUUUUCUUCUUCUGAUUGAUCUUGUUCAGAGUAUGACUUAAAGUCACUCAGAGUCUGAACUCUUGAAUAUCUUUAUCAAAUUCUGAAAUAGGAUCUGACUCAAAUGUAAAACAAAUGAUAGCAACGAAAUAUAGUUCAGAAGCAAGUAAAUUAAAAGCACAAAAGACACAAACAGUUAUCCUGGUUCCUCUCACAACUUAAGAGUAGUCCAAUCCCCUUAUACUUCCAAGGGAUUUCCACUAUAAAUAAACUGAUUACAAAUUCUAAAGCAUACAAGCAAGAGACUUUUUUGAUUAGACACAUAAGUAUAAGACUUUCUUACUCAAAUACACAAGUUUAAUACUUUCUUGCUCAAGCACACAUGCUUAAUACUUCCUUCCUCAAACACACAAGUCUGAUACUUCCUUGAUCUAGCACACAAGCUAAAGACUUAAAAUGCUCAAGCACUGAAGCAAGAGAGUUCUGAUUAUAUAACACAUUAUUAAGAGAUUUGGGUAACAACUACACUUGAUAUACAAUCAGAGGUGUAGACAAAAUACAACUUAUGAAGACUCUAAAACUUAAGAACUUAUAAAAUAUAUAAGUUUUAAGAUGUUCUAAGUCUAACAAUAUUGACAUAGUAGCUUCUCUUUUAUUGUCAAGUUUUAGAGUCUUGUGAUAUUGUGUAUUGUUGUGUGGUGUAUUAUAUCUUGGUGAUCUUCUUCUCCAGCCUUAUUGCUCCUUAAAUAGAGAAGAGAGAGAAAAAAUAUGUUGGAGACUUUCACCAAAACGUUGAUCUAGAUUUGUACUUGAUUAGACACAUCAACAAAUCACCUUUCUGAAAGAGGAAUUAUCCGUUAAGGCUCAGGCAUCCAAGAAGAUAUUUUUCCUCAAGUCUUCACAUGAUGAAAAAGUCUAUGAGUUUGUCAUAGUUGACUUGGUAAAAGAGCUUCUACUUAAAGGUUAACUUUCCUUAAAACUUCACUCUUCAACAACUUAUCACAUUAGAGUCCUCUUCUUGGCUUUAGAAGCUUUAGAGUUUGGAUUACUAGAGGCAGACUUUCUUCAGAGUUGACUUCUUCAGAGUCUGAAUCUCCAUCAAAGGUAGAGUCUUCACAAGUGAUCUUCAGAGCCAAAGUCUGAUCUUCAGAUUCAAAUUCCUUAAGCAUCUCUUUAUUUAUUCUUAAUGAUAUAAUCAUGCAUACUUGAACAAAUGUUAGAAUACCCAAUUUUUCUUUAAAUACUUUGUUAUCAUAAAAAACUAAGGUAUGUGGUAUUAACAAAUUUUGUUCCAACAAUAUCCCUUUUUUUAUGAUAACAAACAAUAAUAUUUAAGAAUAAUGGUUGUUAAUUUAAUUAACUUGUUGACUUUAGGAUCUAAGGUUUGUAAGCUACCCUUGAGUAUGAUAGUCCAGAGGGUGAGGUUUGUAAGCUCCCAAUAAGUCCUAUCCAAGUUAAUUAAAUCCCUUUAAUUAACAUGUUGACUUUAGAGUCUAAGAUUUGUAAGCUCCCUCUAAGUCUGAUAGUUCUGAGAGUGAGGUUUGUAAGCUUCCCCUAAGUCAUAUCCAAGUUAAUUAAAUUCAUUUGAAGCACAAUUAUUAAUUCUUCAGAAUUUAAGCAUAAAAUAAUAUCAAUUAAUCAGAUUCAGAUUCUUAAAUACUUAUCCUUCUCCCCCUUUUGUCAUCAACAAAAAGGUAAGACAAAAGAAGGAAAAGAUACUAAAGAGGGAGAAAAUGUGUGGGAAAUUAAAUUCUGAGUAAAAGUAAUUAAAAAUAACUUUUGGAAUCCCCCAAAAAUUCAAACGCGGUUUUCAAAGAUUUGAACAAUGGCUAGAUUAGUUGAGAAUAUUUCUUCACUUAUCGAGAUGAUCAAACAAAAUCCUUGUAGUUUCCAAGUAUUGGAAACAACAUAAGUGAAUUAGAAUUAAGAGAUAGUAAACCUAGAGUUGCAUGCAUUAAAGAUCAUUGGUGAUUAAACUUCCACAAGUAACGUAUAUGGCACUCAAGAUCCACUAUAAUACCAUGAAACCAUAUGUUAAUACCAUAGAUCUUCAUCUAACUCUCUCUUAUACAAGAUGAGCACAACUAUUGUAAACACUAGAAUCAACGUCUCUUCAGAGACUACUAUGGUCAUGGAGACCAACACUUCCAAGGAACACAAUCUUCAGAGACAUGAAAGAAUCCAACCUUCUAAAUCAAGAACCUCCAUUGAGGCACUAAAUCUAAGAAGGACUUAAAAUUCGAGAAAGAAACCCAAGAAGAAGAAGAAGAAGAAGGCUUUAUAAAAAAUAAUCUACUUUGGUUCUGACAUAGAAGAUGAGUGGGUUAUGGACUGGGGAAACUUCUCCAUGGCUCGAUGUUGGAGUGAUGAUUAAAUAAUGUAGAAAAUCAUAUGUAAAAUCAUUCCAACUAAAUGAAAGUUUAACACAUUUUCCUCUUUGCAAAGAUACUCCCUUUUUUAAUUCCUUUGAAUGACCCGCUGAUAGAGAAGUCUCAAAACUAUUUCAACCAAUUAAGCCAAAAAUAAAGGAAAACUAGGGAGAGAAAGACUAUUUUUAGCUUUACCAUAAAGCAAAAUAAUUCCCAAUUAAUAUAGCUCGGUGUAUGAGCAAACACACAAUAAUUUGAAGGAUAAAAAUAAUCCAACAGAUGUAGCACAAAAACAUACAAAGAAUCAUUCAAAUAACUGACAUAUAAAUGAGUAAAAUAUAUUCAAAUAAAAAAAUUACUUAUAUGCUAUCAGAGACAAUUUCAUCGUUCUUAUUUUAAGAGGCUGAUAUGCUUCAAAGUCUGAUGUUCAUUAGAAGUUGUUUUUAGAGCUUCCGGUCAUAGUAGCUUCUGACCAUCAUCAGACUCCGAUCCUCCAUUCAAAACCCAACACUCUUCUGUAAUAAAAUGUAUGUUCAGGUUCUUUUUAGUCAAAUCUUUCAAUAGUAAUAGGUUUGGUAAAUAUAUCAUCCCAUUGAUGAACUGUAUAUCUAUUACACCUUUCUUAACACAAUAUCUAGUAAAUGAUGUUUGAUUUCAAUGUGACUGGUUCUAGAAUGUUGAACAUGAUUCUUUGAUAAACAUAUAACAACCGUAUUAUCACAUAAUAUAGGUAAACUGCUCCCACAAAUCUAAUAAUCCUCUAUAUGAUAUUUCAUCUAGAGGAUUUGUGUGCAAUAUUUAGCAGCUGAAAUGUACUCUGCUCCUAAUGUAGAUAAAGCAAUAGUUUCAUAUCUUUUACCAGCCCAUGAUAUUAGGUUUUCAACUAUGAAUUGAUAGUUUCCAGUAGAGGAUUUCCUUUCAAUUCUAUCCCUAACAUAGUCAGAAUCACAGAAUCUAACCAGCUUGUAAUCUAGGGAUUUUUUAUAAAGCGGUCCUAGAUUAGUUGUUCCCUUCAGAUACCUAAAGAUCCUCUUAAUAACAAUUAAGUGAGUCUCCCUAUGAUCUGAUUGGAAUCUUGCACACAUACAUACAUUGGACAAUAGUUAAGUAUAUUAAGGAACCAAUCAUACUUCUAUAUAGCUUAUGACAAACUUUUGAGUUUUCUUCUUCCUUGUUCGGAUUGCAUAUUGGAUGCAUAAGAGUGUUCAUAACUUUACAGUCUUCAAGCUUGAACUUCUUCAGAAGUUCCUUAGUACAUUAUGACUGAUGAACAUAGACUUCAUCUUUGCUUUGGUUGAUCUUAAUUCCAAGGAAGAACUUAAAUUCCCCUAUCAUGCUCAUCUCAAAUUUAGCCUGCAUAGUCUCAGAAAAUUCUUUGCAUAUAGAUGCAUUACUAGAACCAAAAAUCAUGUCAUCAACAUAAACUUGGACAAUCAAGAUUUCCUUAUUCAAAGUCUUUUUGAAUAGUGUAGUGUGAACUUGGCCCUUUUAAAGCCAUUAUCUAACAGGAAAUUAAUUAAACUCUCAUACCAAUCUCUUGGAGCUUGUUUGAGUCCUUAAAGUGAUUUCUUGAAUUUAAAAACAAAAAUAUGUGUGGAUUGAAUCCUCAAACCCAUAAGGUUUUUUUACAUACACUUAUUCUGAAAUGACUCCAUUUAAGAAACCACUAUUUCCAUCCAUUUUAUAUAAAAUAAUAUCAUGAUUAAUAGCACAUGAGAGAAGAAGUCUGAUUGCCUCUAACCUUGCAACUGGUGCAAAGGUUUUAGAGAAAUCUAUACAUUAUUGCUUACUGUAGCCUUGACCUAUCAGUCUAGAUUUAUUUCUUACCACGUCUCCUUGCUCAUUCAACUUAUUUCUAAACAUUCAUUUUGUUCCAAUGACAUUCUUCUAAUAAAGUCUGGGAACCAUACCCCACAUAUCAUUCCUUUGACACUAGUUCAGUUCUUCUUGCAUUGCUACAAUCCAUCAAUCAUCAGGUAAGUCUUCAUCAACAGAAGUUGGUUCUAUCAUGGAGAUAAGUCUCGGCAUUGACUGCUUCUCUUUGAAUGAAAAUCUUGUUCUCAUAGGACUAUCUUUAUUUCCAAUUAUCAACUCUUUUGGAUGAGAAGACUUGUACUUGAAGGUCUUUUUGGAUUGUACAUCUUCUUGAGAGUCACGUGGAGCUUCUUCGAAACUUGCUUCCUCUUGGUGUGUUUUAGAAGAUGGGAUUAGUUAUGAACCAUCAAAUUCUGAACAUCUAGAUUUUGAAGCUAUUAUGGCUUAUAAUCCACCAGCUUCGGGUGAGACUUCUGCAAAAGUUCUUAACAUGUUCUUACAUAUUAAGUUUUGUGCAGCUUCUGAUAUGCUAAUGAGGUUGUUCUUAGAGGAACAACUUUAUUCCAACAACGCUCUUCUGAUAAACACCAUGACCCUUCUCAGUAGCCAUAUUAACUGGAUGAGCUUUAGAGAUAAGUUAAGCAUCUGAAGCACCAACUUCUGACAAAUCAACUUUAGUCUUCCCAGUACUAGUAAUCUUGCAUUACUGGUUUCUUCUAGAUUCCACAUUUUCUUCCUCCUUAUGAGUUGGGAUUUGGAACAUAGGCUUUUCUUUUAUUGAUUAUUGUAGUUAGCCACAGUCAUGGAACAAAGAAUGUUAUCUUCUUUUUCCCUUUCAGCAUAUCUGCAACAAAGAUAAUCUCACUUUUCGGUGCCCAUAUUUAUAUGGGUCCUUUAGUGUUAGUUCUGAUAGGCCUUUUCUUAUUUGGGCCUUAGCUUUGUAACAAGGCUUUGGAUCAUUCAAUACUUUGGAUUUAAAAGUAUAUUGUCUUAAAUGAUUCAUAGUCUUAGGUUAUAGACCUCUCAAAACCUUGUAACUUGAUGUCUUAGAUUCUAGCUUCUUUAGAACCUUUAACUUUGAGGUUUCAUGUUCUGAUUGUUUUAGAACCUUUAACUUAAGAAUCAUUGGUUUUGAUUUCUUUAGGACCUGAUUUGUUCAGAGCAACUUUGCAACUAUAGGUUCUGAUUGGUUUGAACUAUUUGCUUUACUAGCAGGCACAAAAUGAGAGUAUAUAACCCUUUUUAGCAGAGCUUAAAGAAGAAGAGUCUGAUGGUUUAAUCAAGAUUUCAAUCCUUGGAUUGAAAGAUUUUUUAUGAUAACCCAGACCUUCUCCUUUGCUUCUACUUACACCAUAGAUCAUGGAUCAAGUUUUGUUCUAUUAAGUCCAGUUAUGACAAACUCUUAAAGAUCCAACUCAUAGUCAUUAAGAGGUUUGUCAUACAUAUUUUUCACUAAAGCAGUCUGAUCUCUUUCAAGUUUUUCAAUCUUAUAUUUAGAAAAACUUAACUCAUAUUUUAUAAGACCAUAUCGCUUUUUUAUGAUUUUCAUAUGUUUGGAUUUCUCCUGACAUAGAUCCAUAAGAUCUUGACAAAGAGUAAUUAAAUCAGAUCUAGAAAGUUUAGAGAAUACCUCAUAUGCAUCCUCUGAAUCUGAGUCAAAAUCAGCUUCUGAUUCUGAGUAUGAGAAAGUUGAAGCCACCAAAGCUAGAUUGACUUCUUCUUUACUCUUGUCAGAUUCUUCUUCAUCAUCAAGUUCAUCCCAUGUUACCAUUAAACUUUUCUUGAAUUUACUUCUGAAGUUGUUCUUCUGGAAGCUUUCCUUUUUGGUUCUGUCCUUUUGAAGAUCUAGAUAAUCAACUAUGAGAUGAUCAGACUAUUGACAGUUAAAGCAACCUUUUUGAUCAUCCUUGUUAUAUCUGGAGCUUGUUCUGCUAAAACCAAAUCUUCUGCAGAGAACCUCAUGUUCUUGUUAGCAAGAUACUGAAAUCUCUUUAUGAUGAAAUCCAUUUCAUAAUUAUCAGAAUCUUCAUCAGAAGCUUCAGCAUGAGUGGCUUCUUGCUCCCAAGUCCUAGAAGAUUUCUCAGACCUCCCAACAUAUUUCAAAGACAGAGACUUUUAUUUCUUGAUUGGUUCUUCAUAUCCAUUGAGUUCUAACUCAUGGCGUUGGAGAUUACUUAUCUGACUUUCAAGAAUGAUAUUGUUCAGGUCUUUAGCUUCUUGAAUAACUAUCACCUUAGGUCUGUAUCUAACAUGAAGACUCCUAAGAAUCUUCUUGACAUGAUCAGAGGUGGUGUAGAUUUUGUUUGGAACUUGAAUCUCAAACACAAGCACUUGAAACAUUGAGAACAUGGUUUUAAUGUUCUCAUCUUCUUUCAUUCUAAACAACUCAUAUUGUUGAACCAUAAGAUUUGCUUUGGCUUCUCAAACUUGUUAGUUUCCUUCAUAGGUAACACAUAAAGAUUUUAAAAUAGUUUUGGCAGUGGAUUUGUCAAUGAUCUUUAUGUACUCAGAAUGAGGCAGAGCAUCUACAAGAAUGGCUCUCAUUAUGUGGUGUUUUCUGUAGACCUUCUUCUGAGUAGGUGUGAGAGAUUUUCUGUCAGAGACCAUACCAACACUAUUGACUUUAAUGUCAAUGUCAUCUUCUAAUAUGUCUCACAACUCAUCAUCAAAACCUAUGAUGAGAGUGUAGAUCUUUCUUUUCCACCAUUCAAAUUCAGUAGAAUAUCCAUUGAAUGUUGGAGGUUUAACAACAUAAUUAUUCUUUUCAGGUGUACUUUGAUCAUGAUUAUUAUCACCACGAAGAGUACCCCCACUAAAUCCAUAUUCACCUAACAUGAAGGAAUGUGUAUUUUUCUCAGAAUCUUUUCUGCACCAUUAUUAAGUGUUUAGCAUAGAUGUUCCUCCGAUGGCAACUGAAGGUGGGAAAAACACAAGAAUGGGGGUUGAAUUGUGUUGCCUUUUCUCAAACUUUUUCUUCUUCUACUUCUGAUUGAUCUUAUUUAGAGUCUAAACCUUUAGUUCAAAGUGUGACUCAGAGUAUGAACUCUUGAAAAUCUUUAUCAAAUUAUGAAACAGGAUCUAACUCAGAUGUAAACAAAUGAUAUCAUCACAAUAUAGUUCAAAACCAAGUAAAGUAAAAGCACAACUUGAGAGUAGUCUAGUCCCCUUGUACUUCUAAGGGAUUUACACUAUAAACAAACUGAUUACAAAUUAUCAAGCACAUAAGCAAUAAACUUAUUUGCUUACUGAUCAAUCACUAUUUAUGAUAUAGUUAUUAUCAUUUUGACAGGUGAAAGUAGGCGAGUUAUUUGCAUUUUUCAUAUAGUUUGAGUGGUUUAUAUGUCAGUUUCUUUAAUUUCGGAUUUAUCUAUGUUUUAAUAAUUCCUGGUCUUUUUCAUCUUUUUGGGAAGAUUAACGUGUUUUUUAGGUCGGAGGAAGUCAAUGAUAUGGUCGGAAAAGGAACACGGAGAAUUUUUAGACAAAGUGGGAAAAUCUAUUUUUUCAGCAUGUUUUACAUCAUGAUAGGCGUGUGGUAUUUUAAUCAUAACUAAAGAGUCAUAACUAGGAAUGACAUGGGACCGACGAUAAAUGAAAUCUAACAUCUAGCACUAUAACUUUCAUGAAGACACCAAAGGAUAAUUCGGAAUUGUCUUCCCAUACACAUAUCAACUUUCUCAUACACGUAUGGGAGCCCAAAAUCACAAAAAAGCCCAGUUUGACGUAUUUAAAGCCAAAAAGUAAUUUUUUAAGGUUUAGACGGAGUUGGGGACGGAUUUUGACGGCAGAAACAAGUGUAGAGGUUGGAAAACUUAGAUUUUUAAGGUGGAGACAGAUUUUCAUGAGCUUUAAAUGAUUGAAGACUUAUUUCAUCUCUAGAUCUGUAAUGUUUAUGAUUUUUACUAUGUUUUUCUUUAUUAUUAUGAGUAACUAAAUCCCCAAAUGUUAAGGGGUGUUCCUGAUUAGAGUUUAUGAUACAAUUUUAGAUUUUUACCUUGUAAUAACUUUGAUUUUAUGAUAUAUGACUUAUUUACAAUUUGAGUGUGAUAUGUGAUUAAUAUUUAUGUUUGACCGCCAUUAUUAAUGCUUAACUGUGAAUAAUUCAUGGUAGAUAUCACCAAGGUCUAGGGAUACCCUAUGGAAACCGAAAUAUUCUCUAUUAAAAUAAUGCUUAAUUUCAUCUGUAUUUUACUAUGGAUAUAUGGAUUAAUUUGAAUGAUUAUAGGUUUUCUCACUAAGGACUUAGGAGUAAACACCCUUAAGAACUGGUAGUCAAUGUUACUGAAUUAAGUUAUUACAAGGUUAAUUUACUGUUAUUGAUGAGUCCAAUCAUACAUCUUCCUUAACAUGUUUACUCAUAAUAUAUUUUAAUCUGUUCAAUUGUUGUUUUUAUCUUCUAUUGCAUUUUAUUUUCAAUUACCCGAACAAACAAUUAAAAAAACCCCGAUUACUUUUGUUCAACUAAAAAGAAACGUGAACCCUAUAUUUUCAAGCAAUCCUUGAGAUCGAUACUUGGUAUUUCCCAUUAUUAAUAUAUCGGCAGAUUAGUACACUUGUUAAUUUACCGAUCAAGUUUUUGGCACCGUUGUCGGAGACUGUCAAAGAUUAUAGAGUUUAGAGUUUUAUUUUUAGUUGAAAUUUUGUUGCUUUGCAAUAAAAUUUUAGUUUUAAUUUUAGUUCAAUUUGAAUUUUAUUUUAUUAUUAAAAAACAAAAAAAAAGUCGGAUUAUUGUUGCUUCAUGAAUUCUUCUAUACUUUGUGACUUAUAAAGUGUCUGAGUUUUGUAGUAAUGAAUUAUUUUUAUACAUUGCCACAUGUAUCUCCUGCAUGUUUGUCGCCUGAUUCGGGAAUCACUUUGGAAGAGACGACUAAAUUUUUUAAAGCAUAUAAGAGGGAGGUAAGAAUUCUUAUGAAUGAAUUUAAGGAAGCUAACUUUUAUCCAGAUAGUUUUAUUUGGCGAGAGUUAAGGUUGGAAGAACAAUGUGUGAAAGGAGAAGAAAAAUGCACGACAUCAGAUGAAAAAGAUGCAUUAAGAAUAGAAGAAUUUGAGGUAAACAAGAAAUAUGGGGAAGGAGAAAGAAGGCAACUUGAAGAUGAUCUAGUUCUGGAUGAAAAUCCAAAUUUAACGAUUUGUGAAGAUGUAGACAUCUUAUAAGAAAAUCUUCAAUAAAAGAGUAUCCCUAAAAACUAUUUUAACAAGGCAGAUGAAAGACAAUAAAUUGACAAAGUAUUAUAUGUCAUUUAUGCCUUGUUCACUAAAAUCAAACUGAAAAUGAUUUGGAAACAACACCAUCAACAUCUGAAGUUUAUGGGAUUGCUAUCAAACAAAAGAAAGAAAAAACAUGAUGUGUUAUUUGUGUCAUAUAUGUCACUCUAACAUGGAAUGAGGCAUCAAACUAAUGACGGUAAACGAACACUUCUUGGGAGGCAACCCAAGGGAGAUAUUUGUAAUUUUUUAUAGUUUUUAAUUUUAUAUUAAUUUGAGUUUUGUUUGCUUUCAGUUGGUUUAUUUUCUAGUUAUUUACUUUCAUCUAGUAAUAUGAUAAUUAUAGCUUUAGUGGUUGUGUGAAAAAGUACCCAGAUUAAAUGCAUGUGUGUCCUCUGUGCAUGUUAACUCGCCAAAAUAUUUUUUAUAUACUUAUAAAUGAUCUGAUUAGUUUAAUUGAGUUGGACUGAAGGUUGAGCAAGUUUACUAUCACUAAUUGAGAAUCCACAUUAAGCAAGAGGUAUUGUGGAGGUUGUCAGCUCUACCUAACAUGGUGAGAGCAGAAAAAGCCAAACACAAUGUACAUCAUAAGAGAGCAUUCAUAUAUGUCUUUAUCAUUCAGAACUUGCGUACAUUCUUUUAUAAUGUCAGUUGCAUGAUUACACACACUGAGGCACGCUUUUUGUUACUACCCCUGAGCCUUUAUAGCCAUCAUUUUUAUUAUUAUCCAUUGUUAACCCCAUUUGAGCAUUUAUCCGUUUAUUUGUUUUAAAAAACCACAUCAUAUUAACCCAUGACCCAAAAACUUCCCUAGCCUAUUUAGAAUAUUUAUGUGAGUUAUUAGAUUUAUGUUCAUUUUAAGUUUGUGAUUGUUGUUGGGAUAACAACCUUUAAGUUUGGGGUAGUUGUGCAACGUUAAUACAAAUGAGGGCACCUGAUGAUUGAAAAAAAAGAGAAGAAAAAGAAAAGAUGAAAAUUUGAAAAAUCAAAUGGAAAAAAAGUAAAAUAAAAAUAAUCAUCAGGGCACUCGAAAGAAGGAGAAGUCAGCGAGUAUUGAAAAUAAAGACAAAUCUUAAAGUUGAAUCCUCGAUAACAGUUGAUCCUAAAAGACGAGUGCAAGAAAGAAUUCCAGCAUUAAUUCAUUAGAAUAAGCAUUGUGAAGAUAAAGAUCGAAUUGACUCUGAAUCUUAGCCUACUUUUCCAAAAUUAUAACAUCUUAACAUAGCCCGUUACAACCAUAAAGACCUCAAAGAGUGUGUGUAUCGUGCACCUUGACAUCAAAAGAGAAUUUAUUCAAGCCUAUGGUUUGGUAUUGCGUACAAUGAAUUUUGAGUGUAAAAAACAUUAAUACCAGAGACAUUUUGUGAGAGUGUGAAUUAAACUGACAGGUGAAGCAACACUUUCAAGUGAAGGUGUGGACAAUCAGUCGACCUCGAUAAUCCAGCAAAAACUGAAAGUAGCAACAAAUGAGAGUCAUGGAAGAUCUUAGAGGUAUUGUGGUACAUGAAAAGUGUUUCUUCCAUUUGGGGUGACGUGCGUUCUUUGUUCUUAAAUUUUCUUAAGGACAAGCAACAAGCUAAGUUUGGGGUUUUUAUCAGUCACCAUUUACGCUAUAGUUAUUAUCAUUUUACCAGGUGAAAAUAGGCGAGUUAUUUUGCAUUUUUCAUAUAAUUUGAGUGAUUUAUAUGUCAGUUUCUUUAAUUUCAUAUUUAUCUAUAUUUUAAUAAUUCCUGGUAUUUUUUGAUCUUCUUGGGAAGGUUAACAUGUUUUAUAGGUCGGAGGAAGGUUGCUGAUAUGAUCGGAAAAGGAACACGGAGAAUUUUCAGACAAAUUGAGAAAAUCUAUUUUUCAGCAUGUUUUACAUCAUGAUAAAUGUGUGGUAUUUUGAUCAUAACUAGAGCAUCGUGACUCGGAAUGACGUGGGACCAGCGGCAAAUGGAAGAUAACAUCUAGGGCUACAACCUUUAUGAAGACACCAAAGGCUAACUAGGAAUUAUCUUCCCAUACGCAUAUCAAUUUUCUUAUACGCGUAUGUGGGCCCAAAAUCACAAAAAAAAACCGGUUUGACAUAUUUAAAGCUAGAAAGUGAUUUUUUGAGAUUUAGACUGAAUUGGGGAUGAAUUCUGACGGCAAAAACAAGUAUAGAGGCUGAAAAACUUAGAUUUUUAAGGUGGAGCAAGAUUUUCAUGACCUUUAAGUGAUUGAAGACUUAUUUCAUCUCUAGAUCUGUAAUGUUUAUGAAUUUUACUAUGUUUUUCUUUAUUAUUAUGAGUAGCUAAACCCCAAAAUUUUAGGGGGUGUCCUUGAUUCGAAUUUAUGAUACAAUUUUAGAUUUUUACCUUGUAAUAACUUUUAUUUUAUGAUAUAUGACUUAUUUAUAAUUUGUGCUUAAUGCUUUCUCUUUCGGAAAAAUUGAGUAUGAUUUGUGAUUAAUAUUUAGGUUUGACUACCAUUGUUAAUGCUUAAUUGUGAAUAAUUCAUAGUAGAUAUCACCUAGUUCUAUGGAUAACUUAUGGAAAUCAAAAUAUUUUUGAUUAAAAUAAUGCUUAAUUUUAUUUGUAUUUCACUAUGGGCAUAUGGAUUAAUUUGAAUGAUUAAAAGUUUUCUCACUGAGGACUUAGGAGUAAACACCCUUAAGAACCGGUAGUCAAUAUUAUUUAAUUAAGUUAUUGCAAGGUUAAUUUAAUGUUAUUGAUGAAUCCAAUCAUACACCUUUCCGUAACAUGUUUACUCAUAAUAUAUUUUAAUCUAUUUAAUUGCUAUUUUUAUCUUUCACUGCAUUUUAUUUUCAAUUGUUCAAAUAAACAAUCAAAAAAACCCAAGGCUUUCAUUUAACUAAGAUAAAACAUGAACUUUGUAUCGUCAAGCAGCCCUUGAGAUCGAUACUUGGGAAAAUUUCCCUUAUUACUACAUUGGAAUAUUAGUACACUUGCUAAUUUACCGAUCACUUGCACACACAAGUUUAAGACUUCCUUACUCAAACACACAAGUUUAAGACUUCCUUACUCAAACACACAAGUUUAUAGUAGUAAUAACUUUCAUGUUGUACUUUAAGUGUAAAUAGUUAACAUAAACACUUGAGAGUUGAGUGAAUUUUAUCUUGUGAGGAUCUUACUGCUUUUGAUGUACUCCUUGGUAAUCUGUUUUCCUAUCUACUUUGAUUGUCACAAAAAGUUGCUCACUAACACCAUAUUCUUAAAGCUUAGACUUAGAAUUCUGUUUGUACCUUGUAUUUUGAAAUUUUUUGGAAGUGUGUGCUCUGUUUUUUCCUUUCGUUUUGAAAUUGUAAUUUUGCUCGGAGUGCAAAAGUUCAAGUGUGAGUGAAUUUGAUUAGUGAAUUUUUUAUGCACAUUCUUCUAUAAUUGUACUUAGGCAUUUCCCUAUUUUAUUUUGCUUAUUUUACUGUUUUAUUAUGUUUUUAAUUUAAGUUCAUGUUUACCUUUAAUCUAUUUUCGUUUGUUGUUUUUAAUUUUAGUGGUUAAUUAAUACCUCUUCAUUAUUCAGAUCAUAACUGGAGCUAUGGGAUGUUGUUUUACACACUAUGAUAUGUGUUGGAAUGCUAAGAGAAAGAGCUACAACUUUCACGUUGAAGUCAAAAGUUGAUUAGGAGUUCAGGAGUCUCGCAUAAUUCGUUGAAGUUUCGUACUUUAGAAAAUAAUUUGUUUUUGGUCAUUUUUGGGUCGAGCUUAUGUUUUCUGACCCAGUUUGAAUUGUAAGUGUAAUCCUUAUUUUGUUAAAAGGGGAUUAGUCGCGGUACUGUAGACAAUACAAAUUAUUCACGAAAAACAUUAUGCUCUAUACGAUUAUGAAGAGGAACAAAUCUUCCAGAGUUGAUCUACUAUAACCGAGUUUCCAACGCUUUGAGAUUUUUAUUCUAUCAAUUUAAUUUUGUUUCUCUUUCAAUUCAUUUCUAUGAAAACCAUACCGACAGCGGAUCAAGCAUACCACAACAAUUUUGGGUAUUUUGUUUUUGUUAUCCUCCCUUCAAUCUUCUAUAAAACAACAAUUUGAUAGGUGAAUGGGGAAAAUAUUUUUGUUUUUUUAUAAAUGGAAAAGAUGAGUGAAUACAAAAGGACUCGUUCAAAACAUGCAUGAUCAUUUCAUUAAUAUUACCUUUAAAGGAAAACAACAAUACUUAAAAGCAAAUAAGUGUUCAACAUGCAAUACAAAUGAAAAUGUUGAAAUAGCCAAAUGAUUUCCAAUGUAGAGGAGGCUCUCUCGUGCUUGGUUCACUUGUUCACUACUGGGCUAGCUUUCUUCAGAGUUGGAGGUCGUUCUACUCACUGUGACCAGUAUGAUAAUUUUCUUCAGACCUAUUCUCGGCAAUUUCCUCCAUAGCAUGGACUGAUGGACCCACAUAAUAAGGUGAAUGAGUAUUGUUAAUUUGAAGGCCUUGGGGCAUAAAUGAGAAUAAAUUGAAGUCAAAUAGAGUUUGUACCUUUCUCUUGAGCACCUUACAGUCUUCAGUUGAAUGCCCUUGUGCCCCAGCAUGGAAGUCACAUCGAGUAUUGGCGUCAAAACCUGAUGGUUAUGGAGGAAUUACUGGAUUUAGUUCCUUUGGCACUAUCAGUCCUCUUUUGAUUAAAUAUGGUAGUACUUGACUCUAUGGCAUUGGAAGUGGAUCGAUAUGUCUCUCUGGCUUUCUUGGCCUUUGUCGGGCAUGCUAACGUUGUUGAUAUGGAGAAUGAUGUUGUUGGUGCGACUGUUACCGUGGAGUCUUUUGUUGAUACAGAGGAGUUCCUCGAUUUGUAGGGUGAUAAUGAUCAUAUGGAGAGAAUGGUGUCUGAUAUGGAGCCUGUGGAGUUUCCCAAACUGCAUUAACUUCAUUUUCCUCUUCCUCUUGGGAACUUCCAAUAGAUUUACUCUCGAUGCCCUGGCUCCUCGAGGUGCGUUGGAUUCUUCUGCUUUUGAGGCCACACUCAAUAUGUUCUCCAAUUGACACCAAGUGAACGAAGUCUGACGUUGUACUGCUUAUCAUCCUUUCAAAGUAAGGACUUUGCAAGGUAUCCUUGAAUAAGUCCAUCAAUUCUUUAUCUAAAAGUGGUGGUUCAUUACUCAAACACACAAGUUUAAGACUUCCUUACUUAAACACACAAGUUUAUAGUAGUAAUAACUUUCAUGUUGUACUUUAAGUGUAAAUAGUUAACAUAAACACUUGAGAGUUGAGUGAAUAUUAUCCUGUGAGGAUCUUACUGCUUUAGAUGUACUCCUUGGUAAUCUGUUUUCCUAUCUACUUUGAUUGUCACAAAAAGUUGCUCACUAACACCAUAUUCUUGAAGCUUAGACUUAGAAUUCUGUUUGUACCUUGUAUUUUGAAAUUUUUUGGAAGUGUAUGCUCUGUUUUUUCCUUUCGUUUUGAAAUUGUAAUUUUGCUCGGAGUGCAAAAGUUCAAGUGUGAGGGAAUUUGAUUAGUGAAUUUUUUAUGCACAUUCUUCUAUAAUUUUACUUAGGCAUUUCCCUAUUUUAUUUUGCUUAUUUUACGGUUUUAUUAUGUUUUUAGAUUUAAGUUCAUGUUUACCUUUAAUCUAUUUUCGUUUGUUGUUUUCAGUUUUAGUGGUUAAUUGAUACCUCUUCAUUAUUCGGAUCAUAACUGGAGCUAUGGGAUGUUGUUUUACGCACUAUGAUAUGUGUUGGAAUGCUAAGAGAAAUAGCUACAACUUUCAUGUUGAAGUCAAAAGUUGAUUCGGAGUUCAGGAGUCUCGCAUAAUUCGUUGAAGUUUCGUACUUUAGAAAAUAAUUUGUUUUUGGUCAUUUUUGGGUCGAGCUUAUGUUUUCCGACCCAGUUUGAAUUGUAAGUGUAAUCCUUAUUUUGUUAAAAGGGGAUUAGUCGCGGUACUGUAGACAGUAUAAAUUAUUCACGAAAAACAUUAUGCUCUAUACGAUUAUGAAGAGGAACAAAUCUUCCAGAGUUGAUAUACUAUAACCGAGUUUCCAACGCUUUGAGAUUUUUAUUCUAAUAAUUUAAUUUUGUUUCUCUUUCAAUUCAUUUCUAUGAAAAUUCAUUUGCUUAAUUCAUAUUUUCUGGAAUGGUUUUGAUUAAAUUUGUAUGAUUUCAUUCCUAACUGUUAAUCACCGUUUACGUCGCUUUGUCAUUAAAUCACGUUUGUAACUGUGUUUGCUUAAUUCACGGUUGUAUUAAUCCGCUUGUUUAAUUCAGAAUAUAGGAAUACCAAUCUGUCAUAUUUCUAUUGCACUUGUCAAUCGAUAUGAAUCGAAUAGAAAUCGAAGUCGCUUAGGGAAUUGGUAGGUAAAAAUCAGUGAUUAGCCGGAAAUCGAAAAUAGUAGAUUGGCUUAUUUUAUAAUCGCUUUUUUUGAAUAACUUAUUUACUUUGUUUUCUUAAUUGAUCCCUAAACCAUACCCCCAAAUCAAUUCCAGUAGGUUAAUAAGAAUACAAGAAUCCUUACUAUAUGAUGCUCGAGUUGUCGCUUCCGCUAAACUAUGGUUUUCUAAUUACUCGUUUUGACCCGUGCGCGACAGCGGAUCAAGCAUACCACAACAAUUUUGGGUAUUUUGUUUUUGUUAUCCUCCCUUCAAUCUUUUAUAAAACAACAAUUUGAUAAGUGAAUGGGAGAAAUAUUUUUGUUUUUUUAUAAAUGGAAAAGAUGGGUGAAUACAAAAGGACUCGUUCAAAACAUGCAUGAUCGUUUCAUUAAUAUUAUUACCUUUAAAGGAAAACAACAAUACUUAAAAGCAAAUAAGUGUUCAACAUGCAAUACAAAUGAAAAUGUUGAAAUAGCCAAAUGAUUUCCAAUGUAGAGGAGGCUCUCUCGUGCUUGGUUCACUUGUUCACUACUGGGCUAGCUUUCUUCAGAGUUGGAGGUCGUUCUACUCACUGUGACCAGUAUGAUAAUUUUCUUCAGACCUAUUCUCGGCAAUUUCCUCCAUAGCAUGGACUGAUGGACCCACAUAAUUAGAUGAAUGAGUAUUGUUAAUUUGAAGGCCUUGGGGGCAUAAAUGAGAAUAAAUUGGAGUCAAAUAGAGUUUGUACCUUUCUCUUGAGCACCUUACAGUCUUCAAUUGAAUGCCCUUGUGCUCCAGCAUGGAAGUCACAUUGAGUAUUGGCGUCAAAACCUGAUGGUUAUGGAGGAAUUAUUGGAUUUAGUUCCUUUGGCACUAUCAGUCCUCUUUUGAUUAAAUAUGGUAGUACUUGACUCUAUGGCAUUGGAAGUGGAUCGAUAUGUCUCUCUGGCUUUCUUGGCCUUUGUCGGGCAUGCUGACGUUGUUGAAGUGGAGCAUGAUGUUGUUGGUGCGAUUGUUACCGUGGAGUCUUUUGUUGAUACAGAGGAGUUCCUCGAUUUUUAGGGUGAUAAUGAUCAUAUGGAAAGAAUGGUGUCUGAUAUGGAUCCUGUGGAGUUUCCCAAACUACAUUAACUUCAUUUUCCUCUUCCUCUUGGGAACUUCCAAUAGAUUUACUCUUGAUGCCCUAACUCCUCGAGGUGCGUUGGAUUCUUCUGCUUUUGAGGCCACACUCAAUGUGUUCUCCAAUUGACACCAAGUGAACAAAGUCUGACGUUGUACUGCUUAUCAUCCUUUCAAAGUAAGGACUUUGCAAGGUAUCCCUGAAUAAGUCCAUCAAUUCUUUAUCUAAAAGUGGUGGUUCAUUGCAAGUCAUCAACUCUCUCCAUCUUUGGGCGUACCUUUUGAAUAAUUCAUUGCUCUCUUGGGAUAUGCGUCGUAACUGCAUGCGAUCGGGAGCCAUGUCAAACUUGUAUUUGUAUUGCUUCAAAAAUGUGUUAUCUAGGUCUAACCAUGACUGAAUGUGGCUCCUUUCUAACUUUAUAUACCAACUCAAUGUUGCCCCAAUCAAACUGUCUUGAAAAUAGUGAAUCAUUAGCUUAUCGUCGCUAGCAUAGGAGGUCAUUUUUCGGAAGAACAUCACCAAAUGGUGCUUUGGACAACUAUCCCCUAUGUAUUUUUAAAAAUAUGGUAUCUUAAACUAUAAGGGUAUAAUCAGGCCAGGUACUAAACACAUGUCUAAGGCAUCCAGAUCAAAAGUAUCUCGCCCUUUUAUAACUUUAAGUCUUUUCUCUAGCACACGACAUCUUUCAGCAAUCUCGUCAUCUUGUGGAUGUUCAGUAUUCACCACCAGGCUUGUCCCUUGGAAAUUUGGUGCCGAGAAUACAAAGCUAUGAUAUUCAACAUCAUCAUUAUAUGAGGAAUACCCAUCUCGGACAGUGUGACGCUCUUGUACAAUAGAGUUCUCAACUGGGAUGACAUUUUCAAUGAUUGUAGACCGUUGAAUGUUGUCAUAUCUUUUUGUUAAAGAUAUCAUAGCCUCCACAACUUGGUAUAUCUGGUUUUUAAUCGAGUCCACAUCUCCUCUCAAUGCAAUAUGGAUUUGCUCCAAUGGAUCCAUGGUCUUUUAAGAGAUGCUUCAAGUCCGAUACGAGUGUCAGGAAAUCAACUACAGGUUAUGGACAAAGGAUGGAUGAGUUUUUUUUUUGUAUUUUGAGAAUGAUAUGCAUGCUGAUGAAAUGCAAAUGCAUGAAUUUUUUUUAUUUUUUUUAUAUGCACAAAUGCAAUGCAGGUAUAGUUAGGAUCCAGAAUAACAUGAGUAUCAUAGAACAACCUAUGGAUAGGUUCCCUAUAGUGGAUAUUUCUAGGCUUUCUACCCAUAAACCACUCACUUGGUUGGCUCUGAUGUUUUGGAUAAGGUUCCUAGAGUCAUGGACGCUAAUCGUAUCAACGUCUUGCAAUAGGCUAGCUGUUUUAUGAUGAGAGUGACGAAAGGUCUAUUCUGGACGGGGUCUUCGUACUAGGCACACAAGGAGUGGUCAUUGGAGUCUAAUACUACACAACCACCAAGACAUAACUAGUUCUAAGAGUAGUUCCCAAAUUCAUGGACCCUUUAUGAAUCAAGUCAUGUGACAUGCUAGCUGCCUUACAACGAGAUCUACGAAAAGGUUUACUCUAGGGGAAGACUUCAUGCUAGACACACAAGGAGAGGUCCUUAGAGACUAACACUACACAACUUCUAACUCUAAAUUAAGUGUUCUCUUUUUUAUCCCCAAAGCUCAGGUGUAGAGCUUUACUCAUGAUAUCAUCCCGAAUCUAAAGAUAAACAAGAUAAUAAACAUAUAAAUAGGAAGAUAAUAAAUAAGUAAGCAAGCAAAUACUACAUGAAUAAUACAAUUAAGCAAAGCCAAUAUUUAUCACAAAGUUAAAUAAGUUAGGCUUGAAUCUCUCUUGCUUGGAGCAUGAGUCGCCAGCUGUCGCAUCUCGAAAAUAAGAUCCUUCAUGAUGGUCGUGGAAAAAUUAAUUCGAACUGAGUCGCUACCGAACUUUAUUUAUCCCAAUGAAGGAAUAGGAAAAUAUUGAUAAAACCUUUAAAAAUAGAAUAAUGGUUGUCGCAACCAUAUUCAGGUUUAGGAGUCGAUUACGCAAGGAAAAGGUACUAGCACCCCUCACGUCCGUUGUACUCAAUAGAAAUCUCUUAGUUAAAUUUGCGAUUGAAUAUAAUCUUAUGUUAAUUGUUUUCUUAGACUGAAUAAAAGGCUAAAAAGAAAAGGAAAAUAAACCUAAAAAGGCAGGGUUUUUUAUUAGUGUACUCACCAAGCUCUCGCAAUCUCGUGCCUACGUAUCCUCAUAGUGCAAUAAGGAAAUCAGAGCAUUCGUAGUUCGGGGAGCCUACAGUUUGUUUUAAUGAGCGAGUACUUAGAUCUUGUUCUAAUGACUAAACAUGGGCUUGUAUGCUUGCGGUGGAGACUUAAGUGCUAGUUUGUAUAUGAAUUAGAAAGGGGUAUGGUGUGUGUUGAGCAAUCAAGGGGUGUGGGGCUUCCCCAACCUCAUAUUUGGUUACUAUUUCCGUAGCAACAAAAACGUAAAAACACCAUAAUUUUCUCAAUUUUUUACGGAAUUAAGCAAAUAAAUAAUGAAAAUUUAUUUACCCGAUCUUACGAACACGGUGGUAUAUUUAGAAUCAGAAAAUAAAUAACAACAAAAAUCGAAAAAUCAACAAAAAUGCAGCAACAUAUAUUUGCUUGAUUCAGUCAUCUUAUCCACCAUCGUGACAAACGAACCACGAAUUCAUGCUCGGGGUGAUAUUGGGAAGCUAUUGGAUACAUUAUUUAUGUAAAACAAGCAUCAUUUACAUUUUACCCUUUUUGGUCAUGGAGAUUCAAGAACACUUUAAACUCUUGAUUUUGAAUCAAUGGAGUUUCCUUACAAAAUUGUGGUGAUUAAUUAAGUGCAAUAAGAAUAAUAAUACAAAUAAAAUUAAAUAAACAAAAAUUAAAUCACAUUGAAUCCUUUUUGCCCAUGUAGGUUCAAGAACACUUUAAAUUCUUGAUUUUGAAUCAAUGGAGUUUCCAUGUAAAAUGAUGAUGAUUAAGGUACUAAUUAAGUGUAGCAAGAAUAAUAAUGCAAAUAAAAUUAAUAAACAAAAAUUAAAUCAUAUUUAAUCACUUUUGCUCAUGGAGGUUUAAGAACAUUUUCAACUCUUGAUUUAAAAUCAAUUGAGUUUCAAUGCAAAAUGGUGAUGAUUAAGAUACUAAAUAAAGAAAGCAAGAGUAAAAAUACAAUAGAAUUAAAUAAAGAACAAUCAUAAGAGUCCACCUAUCCAAUAAAAAGAAAGAAAUGACUUGGAAAAAGAUAAAGAGAAAAAUAAAGAUAGUUUUAACUUAGUUUUUGUGAAUGAUCGGCGGUGUCAUUUGUGAAUGAGAAUGAUUUUAUUUAUAGGCUCUAAAAAGGGUAGUUUAGGAAUUAUACAAAGAGUGUGAGUGUCUUUUAGAAACUUAUUUAAUUAAAUAGUGAAUAAUGAUGCAUUGAAUAAUGAUGUAAUAAAUGAGAGAUAUUUUGGGCUUUCUAGAAACAUUGAUUUUUUUAUGAUGCAUGAAAAUGAUUAAUAAAAUUCAAAUGGAUAUUUUGAUGAUAAAUCAAAUGAUCAUGAAUUUAUUUUUCAAAAUGCAUAAUGAAAAAAAUGUAAUUUUAAUCAAUUUCAACUUGUAAAAUGUUGACUUUAUGUUGACUUUUAUUACUAUAUAUACAUAUAUGCAUAAUUAUGGUGACUUUAUUUGAUGAUAAAAAUGCAUAUAGCUAAAAAUGUAAAACUAGACAAACGGACAUGUAUCAGAUAAAUUUAAAAUGCACGAAUAAAAUUAGGGUAUGACAAUACCCUCGCCAAAUUACAACGUAAUAAAAGUCAUUUUGAUCUUUGUGUGAUGUAAUUCAAUUGUGAAUGUUAGAGUCUUUUCAAGCUUGUGGUAGUGCUAAUUGUCAUGUUAUACUUUGAGUGUAAAUAGUCAACCUAAACACUUGAGAGUUGAGUGGAUUUCAUCUUGUGAGGAUCUUGUUGCUUUUGAUGUACUCUUUGGUAAUCUAUUUUUUGUAUUUGCUUUGAAUGUCACAAAAGAGUUACUUACUAAUUCCAUUUUCUUGAAACUUAGACUUAAAAUUUUGCUUCCACUCUGUAUCUUGAGAACCUUUGGAAUUUCAUUUUUUGUUUUGCUCUUUUCUUUUCUGUUUUGAGUUUUGAAUUUAUAAUUUUGCUCGGAGUGCAAAAGUUCAAGUGUGCGGAAAUUUGAUCAGUGUAUUUUAAUGCAUAUUCUUCUACUAUUAUACUUAGGCAACUCUAUAGUUUAUUCUAUUAUUUUUACCCUUUUACUGUGUUUUUAUAUUUAAGUUUAUUUAUGGCUUUAUUUUAUUUUCGUACUUUAUUUUCAGUAUAAAUAGUUGUUUGAUAUCUUGUCACUAUGCAGACCAUAACUUGAGCUACAUGAAUUAGAUUGAUUCGUUUUAAUAUGAGUUGGAAAGUUAAGAGAAAGCACUACAAGUUUCAUGUUGAGGUCAAAAGAUGAUUCGGAGUGAAGGAGGGUCGAAUAAUUCUUUGCAAUUCUAGACUUAAUUGAAAUAGUUAGUUUGGACCGGUUUUUGUAAUUUUCGAGCCGGAUCCCAUAAGGGCCCGAAUUUCCCUUUUAUUAUAUUAGGUCUUUCACUGCUACAGUAAUCCUAUUCUCCAUUCACGAAAAAUAAUAAGCCUUUUACGAACCGAGAACUAACACUCUCGGAGUUUAUCUACUAUAACCGCGCAUCCAUCAUACUUUGAGGUUUUCAUAUUUCCCAACUAAAUCUAUUUUCCUUUCAAUUAUUCUCUUUGAUAAUCAAAUGCUUAAUUCGAUUUCUCUUAGGGUUGAUUUAUUUAUUUUCAUGAUUGUAUGUUCCUUUACCUUAAAUCUCGUUUGCUUAAUUCACGUUUGUGCUAUCGCGUUUGCUUAAUUCACAAUUGUUUUAACUCGUCUGCUUAAUUCAAAAAUUAGCAAUUUAUAUAUUGUGGUGUCAAUUACGCUUGUUUAAUUGAUACUAUAAUCGAAAAAGGAAUAGAGACCUCUUGGGGAUUGGGAAUUAUUUUGAUUGAUAAGUUAGGAGACCAAACAGUAGAUCAACUUAUUUUAUAAUCACUUAUUUUAUAAUCACUUUUUAUAAUCCCCUAUUCUCAAUCGAAUAGAAACCCCCUUAUUUCGUUUUCUUAUUUGUUUAAUUUUCCAAAAGUCCUUGUGAUAUGAUACUCGAGUGUUGCUUCCCUAGACUAUCGUUCUUAAUUACUUGUUUUUGACUCGCGUGGGAUAGCGGAUUCGGGUGCUAAUACCUUCCCUUUGCAUAACUGACUUCCUUACCCAUUUCUCUUCCCCAUGGGUUUUAUCGAUAUUUUCCAUUUUCUUCGGGAAUAAAUAAAGUUCGGUGACGACUCUGUUGUAUCUUCGUGUGUGCGAUAUGCUCAGGUAUUUUUCGUGGCGCAACACAUACAUAGUGAAUUAACAUGAAAAACGAGAAAGAACAAAUCCAAAAUUAGAAGGGAAACAUGUGCAAUCUCAUUAUCAUCACAUCCUUCAUCAAACAACAUACAUACAUCAAAAUUGAAUUAAAUAAAAUGAAUUGAAACAUUUCAAACAAAUCAAAGCAACAUGAACUGUGUGCUCACCCUAUGGCUCUCAACCCAUCCAUCCCAUACACAUUCAUCCCAUAUACACUCAAACAAACAUAAUUCCUAACUAAUUUAACUUAAUUCUCUCACAUUUCACACGGAUCACCUCCCUCAUUCCCCCCCCCCNCCCCCCCCCCAAUUCCUCUAACUGACUAUCUUUUCCUCCUCAAAUUCACUCUAUUCGACUAUAAAACUAGCCUAUACAACUCACAACAGACACAUAAAAAAAUCACUAUUGAAGCUCUGCUAAAUUCACAACUCUACCCUAAAAAAAGCUCUCUCUCUCUCUCUCUCUCUCUCUCUCAGUAAGCUACUAAGGUUCGUCAUCUGAAAAUGAGAUAAUUUAAGCUAUAAACCUACUCACUCGCUGGGAAAAGAGUAGAAGAUGGAGAACACAAUAAUCAGAAAAAAAGACAGAGUGGGGAAUCAUAAGCUUAUCUGAGGUUGGCUGGAACCUAUCAGAAGUUUCAAAGCUCCGACAAUGUCUUCUUCUCCUUUUUACUCGCACUUUCUUCAUGUUUAUCUACUGCUUUAGGAUUUUUUUUUCAUGUUUAAUAACAUCGAUUACAUGAUUUGGACUGUUAAUAGUUGAAUUUUAGACCUAGGGUUUUAUUUGGGAAUUAGUUUGGACCUAUAAAUUGGGAUGUUAUUUGGCUAAAUUGAGGGGAAAAUUGUGUUUAUAAUGAAACUUAAGGUAGGGUUGCUUUGUUUAUUUUUUGGAUCUGAGGUGACUUUGUGAAAAUCUGGGAAACGGUGGGAUGAACACGAUGAAUCUUCAUCCAUGUUCAUGCUCAACCACCAUGUUUGAUAUUAUGUUUGGAUGAGAAGAGUAAGUUAAGUUAUUUUUAUGGUGACCACACGAGAGAGAAGCGAGAGGGAAUAUAAGGGAAUAGAGAGAAGGAAAAUGGGAAAAUGAUUUUCCACGUGAGGUCCACCCUCUCAUUAACCUCUCUCUGAUCCCACCCUUUGUUGAUGCAUGGCCACACGUUGCUAACUCCCUGGCCCAAUGAUGUGACUUAAUCCCGUGUUGACUAGGCUCGUGUAUGUGCUCCUUUGAUCAUGCCAUGUGCCCUUCUCACAUCCACCUCUUAAUUUGUUGACAUUUGAUCAUGAGGUUGAGGUUGAGUUAACGUAGUUAACUCCCUCAAAGCCUCACUUGGAUGCACCUUUGGGCCUCCAUUGAACCUUAAUGAUGCUAUUGGUACACCCCUCUGUUUUUUAUUACAACUUUUUUUUUAUUUUGGCAAAUUUUAGGCCUUUGGGCCAUGCUUAUUUUAUUUUUGCUACAACCCCUAAUACUCUCUUACACCCUUCUUGUUUUAUUUGUUUUCUUUACCAUUUUAUUCAUUCAAUUACUAUUUUUUAUUAAUUAAAUAAAUAAUUGGUAAUUAAAAAUGUUUAUUUUAAAUUAAAAACCCUUGAUUCAACGCCAAGUGGUAUUUUCAAAACUUAUCAUCUUUAGAUCGAUUUUGAAUCAAUGUGAAUCAAAUAUUGAUCCAUUUCGAGUGUUUUUUCAAUCAAACUAAAAUACUCUUUAAAUGUAAAAUUAAGCGCUCAAUCAUAUCAAACCUUUUCAAAAUUAAUAGUUACAAUUAAACUUUUUUUCUAAAUAAAGAACGGUUGAAAAGGAAUGGGGGAUGUACAUCCUUCCGCUCCCCGAAUAAGUGAGUCAUUAACACACACCAUACUGCUUGAACUUUCGUCUUCCAGAUAAAAACACUCUAAUCAAACUUAAAUAAAAAAGGAAUAAGGGAUGUAUAUUCUUCUGCUCCUCGAAUAAGUAAGUGGGAGGCGCACGCCUCGCUAUUGCAAAUAUUUGUCUUUCACCGAUAAUUUUCAAAACUCCAAACUUGGAUGAAAAGGGAAUGGGAGAUGCAUAUUUUUCUGUUCCUCAAAUAAAUGAAUGGCUGGCAUACACUUCACUGCUCGAUUAUUCUUUACCCUACUAAAAACGGUUCAACAUAUCAAACUUAUCUUUUCCCUCCCCUUUGCGAUCAAAAACCUCUUUACAAAGGAACACUAUUUAGUUCGUUCUACCGCGAUACAAACAAACACUUAAGCCUCCGAUUGCAAGCACACAAAUAACAUUUAACCUCUAGAAUGCAAUAUAAACUUUCGUUCAAUAAAAUCAAUCAACUAACAUGUAAUUUUCUAUGAACUACAUAGAUUUAAGUUCAUCAUCGCACCUGAGGAUACGUAGGAGCAAGACCCACAAUCUUCAAGCACCCUAAUAAAAAUAUUUUUGUGACCCCUUUUCUUUUCCUUUUCAACUUUUAAUCACUCAAAUAAAGCAAAUAACGAAAGCUAACAUUCUAUUUGCAAAUCUAACUAAAUGGUUCUCGUUGAGUACAAUGGAUGUUAGGGGUGCUAAUACCUUCCCCUUGCAUAAUCGACUCAUGAACCCGAAUUUGGUCGCGACGACCAUUUUCUUUUUUCUUUUAUAGAUUUAUUGAUAUUUUCCCUUUCUUUUUUGAAUAAAUAAAUUUCGGUGGAGAAUUUGUUAUCAUCUCGAGCAUGUGAGCGCUCCAGGUCAUAUUUUGCAUCGCGACAUAUAACAAGUGUUAAAAGUAAGAGUAUCAAUCCCACAUAGAUUGUAUUAACUUAAAUUGAUUUCCAAAUAAAAAUUUGUGAAUAUUCAUGAGAAAAAUAUUAUUAUUAUACUCUUCAUAUGUUUAAAGUGAAUAAUAGCAACUUAAAAAAAGGAAGUUUAAUAGAUAUGAGAAACAUGCUGAGCAAUGACCCAUUUAAUGAUUUUCACCUAGUGUAUUUUUGUGAUAAGAUCUAUCAUGACAAAUGAGGCUAGUGACAUAAUGGUGUAUGCCUACAAUGACAGAAUAAAUGCAACAAAUAACUGUGGAAGAAAUUCCUAAGUCUCACAAUAGCAUUUGUGCAUGUCUUUGAUGAGAUAUGUUUUCCCUUAUGGUUCUAGUUCUUUAUCCCUAAAGUAACUAGAUGACAAAUAUUCUUAUUUACUUUUUUUAUCCAUAUUGGUCAUAAUUUCCAUUUAUCAAAUAUUCCUUAACAGUAAUAUACUUUUAUCUAGUUUUAAGAUGAUCAUCCAAAGAAACAAAUAUAUAACAUUAAAAUAUGUGACAAACUAUAUCACUAAAAUCAAAUCACUUCACACAAAAGGGUUACUUUUCAUUAAAUUUUACAUUGCUCAACAUAAAGUUUUUUGCUCAUGGUGAGCAGAAGACAUACACUAAAAUAGGAUUUCAAGCUUAACAUUUCUAAACAAUAAGGAAACAAAAAUAUAAACCUAAGACAUACACAUUAUCUACUUGCAGUCUUCGACGAACGAGAGGCAAGUUAUGUCAUGCUUGGCUGAAUGUUAUCCUUCAUGAAUGGUAGGGAGAGAGGUGCGUCAGAAUCUACUUCAUCCUUCCUUGAUUAUUGAUGGAAUAUUUUUCUAUAAUUAUUUUCAACUUCUGAACCAUCCUUUCAAUUCCCAACGCAUUUCCUUUUGUAGCCUCCUUCGUUUGUAGGGUUGCUUUUAGAUUUUGGAUCUUAGGCCUUUUGAUUAUCCAUUGAUUUAUCUCAUGGAAAAAAGCAUAAUUCAUUUUUGUAUCUAUUAGUAUAGGUACAAGGAUAGUACACAACGCUUGUAGGGGAUAAUAUGUCUCACAACAACCUCAUAUGCAGGGUGGCUAGUGUAGCGUUUCAAAAUAGUUUUUCAAAAUUUGUCCUCUAGCGCUCAUCCUUAUGUGUUAAGCUUUCCAACUCAACCCUAAUUUCCUUCCACAAAUAUUUACCAUGUCAACCCUAACGCUAAGAUCAAAAACCAUUAUCAACAUCUUCUUUCUCAAGGCCUUCUAAUUAGUGUUCAUAAAUUAUAGACGUGACAGGACUUGUAACCAUAUCUACUUCUGCACAUACACAAAGACACAUAAAAACAACAAAAGAGAGCAUCUAGUGUGCUUUAUACUAAUUGAACUAAAGUCAUACAAAACAAUUUUAAAUAUUACUAAUAAAGCUUAACCCUACCAAAUAAUUCAAGAAAGAUAUGCUUAAAUAUCUCACAAAUAACGAGUUAUCACAACACCCGGGGUGAAUUUUUUUCGUGCCUUUGAUGGUUGCAUUACACCUAAGAAACGAAAAUAUAAAAGUCUAGUGAAUACAACAAUCUCCCCAACUAAAAAACAUAAAAAUAGCCCAAAAUAAGAGCCCUGACUUUUUAUAUUAAUGAGCCAACAGAAGAAGAGGAUGAAAACGAAGUGUUAGUUGAAGAAGUUGUUUAAAGUGAAGUGGAAGAAGAAGAGGAAAUAUAUGAAAUGAGAAAGCAAGCUAACCAUGGAAAGGAAUAGGUGGAAGAUAAGGUAGGAGAGAAAUAUGUAGAAGAUGUUGAGAUGGAAGAAGAAGAAGAAGAUGAUGGACUUGAGGAGUUUGUGAAAAAUAAUGGUUGAUUAAAUGAACAAGGAAUACCCAAAAGAAGAUGGUGAAGAAAAACCAGAGAAAGUUGAAGAGGAAAAAAAUGGACUGAUGAAGAGGAAGAAUCUGAUGAUGAAUAGAUAAAAUAAGAUAUUAUGCAGAUGUAAGAGGAAAAUUCUAGUGUAAAUGAAGAUGCAUGAGGUGGUAUAACACCAGGGGCAUUAGAGGAAUUGAUAAAAAAAUAGAGCCCUAAAGAAAGUAGAUCCAAAGAUGUUGAGAUUGGGUUUCUUAUACCCAUGUCCAUAUCUCCUAGAUAGUUGACCAAUAAUGAAGAAUUCCAAUUGUUGUACCUUGAAAAAUGCGACCAUUCGUGAUGUGCAUCACACGCUCGCAAAAAAUUGAUUCGAACGGAGUCGCCACCGAACUUUAUUCAUUCCAAUGAAGGAAAAGGAAAAUAUCGAUAAAACCUUUGAAAAGGACAUGCUUGUCGCAACCAUAUUUGAGUUCGGGAGUCGAUUACAUAAGUGGAAUGUAUUAGAAACCCCCACGUCCAUUGUACUCAACGAGAACCUUUUAGUUAAAUUUGCAAUUGGAUGUUAGCUUAUGUUAAUUGUUUUCUUUGAGUAAAUUAAAAGAGAAGAGAGAAAAGAAAGGGGUCACAAUUUUUUUAUUUAAUGUGCCUGACGAGAUUGCGGUCUCGCUCUUACGUAUCUCUGGGUGCGAUGGAGAACUCAUGGUUACAUAAUUCUGGGUAGAAAAUGCUUAUUUUUUGGUCGAUUUUAGUGAAAGCUAUUUUGUCACAAUCGACAGAAAAACAUUGCUUGCUACCUAAAACAAGUGGAGAAAGGAACAUUUACAUCACAACUGAAUGAAUUUACAAAUCAACAUUCGCGGGAAACAUUUCUAGCUUACUCACAUAUAUAAAUGGAUGAAGCAUUUGUCUUGCAUCGUCUCGAGACAAAAUAUAUUUCAUUUGUGAAAAAGGUUUGAAGAUCGCGCGACUGCAAGAAAAUAGUUUUAUUGGUUGGAUUGUCUUUUUUGGUUGAAAGUAUAAUAUUUAUAACUUGCAAACUCUUACAACUUGGGUCUAAUACUUAGGACUAUGACUGAACCUUUCACCCAAGUAGUCUUUUCCUUUCAUUUUUGUUAUGAAAAAGGUCAAAGUUGUUAAUGGUUAGUCAUUUUUUAUUUUAUUUGGAAAUGGCUUGACGUUAGAUCAAGCGUUCAUUUGUGAUGCGAAAUGAGUUAUGAAAUGAUUUAAAGUGACGAUUUAUGAGGUUUUUGAAAAUGAAAUGGUUUGAAAUUGGAGUGAUGGCGACUUGGUAUUGACCAAGUAUUUUUGAAAAUGGAACUUGGUGUUGACCAAGUGUUUUUAUUGUUUUGAAAUGUUUAUUUUAUUCUCUCUUUAUUUCUAAUUAGCUUAAAUUAUCUAACUAAAUACAAGAAAACAUAAAAAAGCAAAUAAGUACAAAUUACAAUAAAACGAAUAAGGAUACAUUUUGUCAAUUGGAAAAUAAUGCAAAUAAAUUUAAAACAAAUAAUAAAAAUGUACAAACCCUAAUCAAAGUAAAUAAAAUAAAAUAAAAACAAAACAAUGAGAAAAUGAUUAUUAGUUGCAAAUAAGAAAAGAUAUUUUUUUUGAAUAAAUAAAAAAAAUUAAAUUGUUUCCUUUUCUAAAAAUAAUCAUGAUUUUUUUAAAAUAAAAGAUAUAAAAAAAUAAAAAGAACAAACAAACAAAAACAAUGCGCUAAAAAGAGCCCAAAUAGAGGGGGUGCUAAACAUGCAUGAGGAGGUUUCAGUGAGUGUGAGAAAAAUGGGACUAAAGCCCAAAACUAAACCUUAAUUAUUAUUUUAUCAUUAUUAUUAUUAAAUAAAAGAAAAAAAUAAAAGAAGUUAGAGGGAACCGGCGCCCCAAAUGGAUAAAAGAUAGACAGAGUUUUCAAAUUUAAAGGCCCCACACUUACACUUUGACACAUGGCAGGGGAAAGGGAAAAAAAUGGAACAAAAAAUCUAUACUCUCUCUCUCUCAUUCGCUGAUAUUUUUUCAUAAGAAAACAAGAAUCAAAAGCAUACUCCGCUCUUAAUCUUUCCUCUCGCAAUAUGAAAAUUUCUUAACCUCAUUCUCGAUUUAUCUUUCUCGUGUAUUUUUUUUUUUGCACAAACAUAAACAAUACUCAACAUAUAUUCAACUCUCUCCAACCUCUUCAUCCUUUAUAGCAUGAACAAACAAACAAGCAUCCCAAAAAACAAAAUCAACAGAGAACAAACAAAGAAUAAAAUCUUAAAGCGAAAGAGGGAAUGCUUACUGAAGCGGGACAACCACAGUGAAGGUUUUGUAAAUCUCAUUGGAACAGGAGAUUCUUUAGCGAUGUCGUUAUUGUGAUAUUUAUUAAGGUUAUGUUUGUCUCCUAGGUUGAGACGUUUGAUGGUGCAUUUUACAACGAUGAAACAAGGUGAAGCUUGUAGUGAAAGGAGGCAAGAUUAAGUUGUUUCGCUUGGAGUAGCAGAUGUGUUCAACAUUGUCAUUAUACGGUGGUUGUUGGUGGUAGUGGUAAGUUUUUGAGGAGGAAAAAUGUUUUAGUGGUAGGUUGCAUGACGUAUGUUUGUUGUGUUUCCGGUGGAGCAGAGUUGAGAGGGGCGUUAUCAAGGUGUGAUGGCUUGUUAGUUGUGCUAUGGAGGCAGAUCAGUCGAAGUUUGAAAGAGGAAGAGAGGUUAUGAGCAAAGUGGUGUUCACAUGUUGUUGAGAGGAGAAUUUUUUGUGUGAAAGAUGAGAUCAAGAGGGACUAUAUAUGGCAAAGAAGAAAAGGAAAGUAGAGAGAAAAUGAGGUUGUUGGAGGGUUCAAGGUGGUGAAAUGUGUAAAGUAUAUGUGUAGUAUGUGUUGAAAAAUAUGCAUGAUAUGUGUGGAGUGAGUUUUUUGUAUGGUAGAUGAGUUUGUUUGGUGGGAGUUUAGAGUGAGAAGAAGGAUGGAAGAAGGUAGUGUUUGGACGAAAAUGAUGGAUGAAGUUUCAACGAAAAUGACAAAUUUUCCCCCUCCUUUUUUUGGCUUUAUGUUUUGCUUCCUUGGUUACAAAAAUGAGAGAAGUAUGACCAAUGGUGAAAAACAUGAUUACCUCCUAAGAAGAUUUCAUCAAAACCUUUUUUAUUCUUGUUAUAUUUUUUUGAAUUUUUUUUAUCAUGAAGAAAUGAGAGGAUGCAAUUAAUGUUUUGUGUGGUUACGAAGGAGUUUUAAUGGCAUUUUAUGGGAGGAGAGUUAUGCGGUUAAGGGAUGUUUAUGAAGUUUGUGAGAUGGUAGGUUGAAUAUGGAUGUUAUAAAGUAUGUUUGGUUGAAGGUGAAAGUGGUUUUAGUUGAAGAUAAAGAUGGUUUUAGGUUCUAAGAGUGAAGAUGAAGGUGAUGAGAAAGAUUGUUAUGGUGUGGUAAAGUGAGAAAUAUAAAGUAGCUUAGUAUGAUUUAUGUUGUAGUGGUUGUUUGUUUCACUGUGAGAGGAAGCAUAUAUGUGAAUGAAGGUGAUGAGUACGUGGAAGCUGCCAUGAAGAAGGGGGAUGUAGGAAAGUUUCUCUUUUUAUUUGUUCUUCUUCCUUAGCAAAUGAGAGUGAAAGAGAGAUAUUAAGAAAUGAUAGAGAGGUUUACGUGUAUUGAAUGGGGCGGCUCCCUUCUUCUUUUCUUGGCCAAUAACACAUUAUAUAUUAUGAUAAUAAGGGUUACUUAUUUUAAUUUUGGUCAAAAGUACCCUUGGAUAUUUAUUUGAGUGCAAAAUGAGUUUAAAAUUCUAAAUCAAUUAAAAAUCAAAUGUUUUUAAAUAAGCAAGAUAAAAUGAAAAUGAAAAUGUAAUUAAUUCUAUUUAUUUUUUAUGAACACUUUUACAAAAAUCAAAGAUAAAAAGACUCAAAAUGAAAAAAAGAUCGAGCGAAAAAUGCUCGAAAAAUUAAAAUGAAUACACUAAAAUAAUCAGCAUGAAAUAAACUUCUCAGAAACAUACAACCUUUGAUCAAAUUUUGAAAUAAAAAAUGACCGAUUAAAAGGCUUAGGCUGAUCAAAAUGUGACCGAAAAAGGGAUCGAAAAAAUAAAACGAGCACGCUACGUUAAACUACGUGAAUCGUAUAUUGAUAAAAUUGAUGUCUGCAAGCUCGAUUUUGAAAUUUUUCGCCCGCUAAUUUCAAGUACAUUUGAGAAUCAGUUCAACUCGUCUGUCUGUAUACCAAAAACUUUAUUCUGGUCGACAUUCUAGGCAUUAUGCAAGAUGAAAUGCAUGUUAUGCUACACAAAUGAUGGAAAUGCCACGAUGAAUGUAUUGAUUUAUUAAAUGAGGGGAAAAUUUGGGGUAUGACAUCAACUCAAAGAAAAUUUUCUGUGCUAGGAGGACCUUCUAUAGUAAAGACCCCAUAAGAGAAGAAGAAUUAUGAAAGAGAAGCAAGAAAAGACUUGUCAACUAAUGUGAAAUAAGUUGUCACACUACAACCCUCAAAAGAUAAACGAAAGAGCCUUGAAUCCUCCCCAAAAUUGAAGAACAAGAAGACGAAAUACAUUGUUAUUAUUGAGGAGGAAGCAAUACCACUGAUGUGUCAAUGAGGCAUGGAGGAAAUGGAAAGAAGGAAGAAGAAUGAAAUAAAAGAAAAAGAGUUGAGAACACGACCACCAGAAAAAGUAGCAUUUGUGUAGCCUGGAUAGAAUUUUAAAACCCAACAACCACGUCAGUUGUUGUUUUCAAUUUCUUAGAUUUAUUUUAAUUUUUCUAUUUUGUUUGCUCUAUCGUUCCCCCACUUUUCAGUCAGACGGUGAGGACAUUGUCUUUUAUUUAAGUUUUGAGGUGUGUGACACCAUUUAUUGCAUUUUCCAAAAUUAGUGUUGAAUGAAUGAAACUUUAAUUUAAGUUUUAAUCUUUAGUGUUGUGAAAAAAACUUUCAUAAAUAAACAACUUACUUAAUAUUUCAUCACAAGAACUUAUAAAUAAUAACAAUAAUUUCUUAACAGUUGAAUUACUAAAAAAAUGUUGGAAACAAGACCUUAAGUAGUUAAAAAAAUAUAUGCUCAAAUAAUACUUAGUGAUGAUCCCUAUCACGCUAUAAGAAAUCUAAGAAGUAGUUAUCCUUAUAAGAAGUUUGAAUUGUUAUAGAUUAUGGAAUAAGAUUUGACUUAAUAUUUAGCUUAGGGGAGAAAAACACUAGUAAGUAAAUCAAGUAAAUGGAACUACUUGAGUUUCAAAUGCAUGUUUAAAAAGUAGAGAAAUACAAAAAGAAAUGAAAUGCAAAAGAACAUCUUGAAUAAAGUUUAUGUUCCCAAAACUAGAGGAGCAGUGGGCGUUUAACUAUUAGUAACAAGUUGGACUCAUUACAAGUGAGAUUUCGUCAGGUGAAAAGGUGGAACACUUAGAAAAAGAGAACUAACGAGUAACACAAGCAGAACCCCCAAGUUUAAAAAGAACCAAAAAACAUCUUAUGAAUAAGAUAGUUAAUUUCCCCUUAUGAAAUUGAAAGUUAAAGUCUUAGACCAUAGGAUAGAUCAACCAAACUAGGAUUUAGGAUAUCUAUCUUCAAAGAAAAAUUCUAGCAUGAUACUGGGUGCCAUGGGUUAAACACGCACACACACACGCACACACACACACACACACACACACACCAGAUAACCAAGAAGAUGCUUAUAAAGGCUUAAUUAUGCCAACGUUUGAAUGCAUCCCACAAAAUAGGAUUUUAGUUAUAAGAAAUGUGUUAUUGAGGUUAUAUUUCCUUAGUUGUUUAUUUUGUGCUUAUUUAUCACAUCACCUGAGGAUAAUAAACGAUUUUCAAGUAGGGGUGAGAUAACUAAUUUAUUAUGAGAUAUUUAAGCCCUUAAUACUUGAGUAGUUUAGUAAAGUUUUGAUUAUCCGGGAUUAUAUAUUCAUGUUUUCUUAUAUUUAUCUUAAUUAGUGAUGAGCACACUAGGUGAUCUUUCUUUUAGUUUUUAUUUUGUUUUUGAUGUGCAUAAGUUGCUUUGGUGAUGAGUUUUGUCAGGCCAAGAAUCUAUGACAUAUAUUCCGUAGAAUGUUUGAAUCACUAAAGAUUAGGAGAUAAGCUGUAAAUGUUAGGGUUGGCUUGGCAGAGUUGAAAGGAAGACAACGAGGGAUAAGUUGUAAAGUUUAGGAGAUAAGGAUGAAAUCUAUAGGACAAAACUCUUAAAAGUUGUUUUGAGGGAUGUCACAACGACCCAUCAAAAUGUAUACCUGCCCUGGGACGUGUUGUCUCCCCAAUAAAUUGUGUACUACCAUAGUAUUUAUACUAGCAUACAAAAGGAAUAUGCUUUAUUCCUUUGGCAUAACCACUGGAUAAUUAAAAGGCCCAAGAUCCAAUUCUAUAGACAACCCCACAAUUGAGAAAUGCAAAUAAAAGAAUUUGCAUUGGAAUGAGAAAAAUGUUCAGAAAUUUAGAGAAAAAUGGUUCAUAAUAAAAAGGGAAGGUUGAACCACAGUCUGACGCGUCUCCCGCCCUACCAUUUCUGAAGAAUAUCGCACAAUUAGGUGUGACACGAGAUGUAUUUUGCUGGUUAAAGAUUGCAAGAAGUUGAAGUGUUGUUGUUAGGUUUAUAUUUUCUUUUCUUCAAUAUUUAGAAAUGUUAAAUUUAGGAAUUUAUAAUUUUGUAAUUUGUUUGAUCACCAUGAGCUAAACUCCUUGUGUUAGUCAAUGUGAAGUUUAAUGAAAAGUAACCUUUUUAUGUGAUGUGAUUUGACUUUAGUGACUUAUUUUUUCAUAUACAUCAACUUUAUUUUUUUUCCUAUUUGAUCAUCUUAGAAAUAGAUAAAAGUUUAUUAGUGUUGAGAAAUCCUCUAAUAAAUGGACAUCAUGACAAAUAUGGAUAAAAAGAGAAAGUAUGAAUAGUUUGUUGUUUAGUUACUUUAGGGAUAAAGAACUAAAGUCACAAUGGAAUAUAUAAUUCAUUUAAGAAGUGCAUGAAUGUUAUUGUAAGGCUUAUGUAUUUGUUCAGUAGUUAUUUAGUGUACAUAUUUAGACAUUGUACGUAUACACCACUAGGUCAUGCUCUGGCCUCAUUUGUCACGCUAGAUCACAUCAUCUUUACAUAUUAGGUGAAAUCAUUAAAUGGAUUACUACCCAACAUGUUUCCAAAAAAUUUAAACCUUCUUGCUUCUUAGUUUAUAUUUAUUAUUCAGACCAAGUAACAACAAUCAAUCAAAUGGUUAUGCCCACAGAUUUGACAUAACCAUUGGAUUCACAAUUUCUUGACAUAGAAAUUAACUUUAGUUAAUACAAUCUUUGUGGGAUCGAUACUAUUACUUUUAACACUUGAUGCCACUUUGAGUAUGUAUACUUGCACAUACAAAGCAACCAACAAUGGCGUUUGAGCCUUUGCAGGAUCAAAUCACAAACCUUCAACAAUCAAAUAGAGCUUUUAACAUAGGGUAAGUUGAAGAACCUUCACCCAAGAUUUUUUCAAGUUUAGCUUGCAACUAUUAAAUCCUUUGCAAAUUCAAUUCACAAGAGAAUCACACUUUUGAAUACAUCAAAUAAAUCAUAAAACCAACUACAAAAGAACUAUCACAAGGUUUUUUUGGUCUUCUAGCAUUAUGACAUUUAUCAAAACAAAAAUAUAAAAAACAGAUAUAGUAGAAGAAAGAUAUAAGGUUUUCUAUUAUGAGUUUCAAUGUAAAAUAAAAUGAGGAGAAACCUCCGUUAUAUAGGAAAUUUUUUGGCUCAAAACAGAAAUGAUCCUUGGUGUAUUUUAAUGACUUAAUCGGCUAACCCUAGGUGGUAACCAAUUAAGAGAUUUUAAAAUACAACAAUGCUAGUCUAAAUAAGGAAAUCCUAAAACAAAUAUAUGGUUUAACUUAUUAGAAGAUUUUCUAAUUGAUUAGGAGGUCAUUUACCUUUCUCUAAUUGAUUGAACCAAGUCCUUAAUAUAUUAAGUAGGCUAAAAACUUUCUUAAUUGAUUAUAAAUACUUAUUAAUCAAUAUUUAGCCUUGUUAGGUUUUCGAGAAGUUUUAUAAAAUUAGAGGGAGUUUUGAAAAAAACUUUUAUGUGUGUGUGUGUGUGUGAUUGCCUCGGUAGUUAAAGACUUACUCUUAACCUUUUAUAUUUUAACCGAUCGUUCUAAGACGCUAAAUACAUUAUCAUGCAAGUUCUCAUACUUUUCACAACUUCAAAUAUUCAAUUUCUCUUGCCAUAGUCAGGAGUUUUACUUAAUAGGUGAAAUUAACCCCCUUAUCACAAAGAACUCUCAACAAUAAAAAGUUGUUUAACUUAUGGAGUUGUUAUCUUCAAAACUGAUUCAUCAAUUGUCAUUAUCAAAACCAACUUAUGAUCAUACAUAAAAAGCACAUAGAUCUAUACUAUCCUCCUUUUUUAUGAUGAAAAGUCAUCACUCAAAGAGGUGAUAAACACAGAAAAACGGCGGGUUACGAUUUAGAGUGAUUAAACUCCCCAUCACAGAUAAAGAAAGUAUACUCUACUCCCUUUGAAAGUACAUUUAUCCCAAUUUGGCAUGAUAAAAAAGGUGAGAAAAUUCCAGUGUAAGCCCAUUGAUCAUGUAAAUACAUAGAGAAAAUGGAAGAAGAAGAAGAAGAUACACUCAGAAGAUUAUUCAAUGUAUGAUUGAUUUAAGAUUCAUAACUUAGUUCUUACAAAAAAAAACUUUAUUUAGGAAGAGGUUUUUGUAAAAAUAUCUUCCAGUUGAUUAGACGAAGACACAAAAUCAAUUAAACAAAUAUAUUUUUCGACAUGAUUCCCAAUAAAAUGGUGCCCAAUCUGCAAAAGAGCAUGUGAAAGUGGUAUUUCCCUGUUCUGCAUGAUCUACAACAAUUUAAUUGUAUCAUGAUUAUCCAUCUAAGAAACAAUAAUAAACUUGACAUGCUAAUCUCUCUAACAUUUGAUCCGUCAAAGGUAAUGGAAAAUGAUAUUUUCUCGUUGCUUGGCUCAGCUUCCUAUAAUCAAUACACAUCCGCCAUAUGAUAAUAGUUUAAUUCAGAAUCAACUCAUUCUUUUCAUUUAGAAUCUCGACCGUACCUCCCUUCUUAGGGACUACAUGCACUUGACUCAUCCUGUAAGUUGAGUAUGUGCCUAAGAGGGGUGGGGGGGGGGGGGAAUUAGUUUCUUAGGGACUACAUGCACUUGACUCAUCCUGUAAGUUGAGUAUGUGCCUAAGAGGGGUGGGGGGGGGGGUGAAUUAGAUUCUUUGAAUUUUUUUCCCGAUUUUAUGAAAACUUGUUCUUUCUUUUCUGGUUUGGUUAUGCAAUGAAACGGUAAAAUGCAGAAAGUAAAGAGCACCGAGACAUAUACUGGUUCCCCUCACAAUCCGAGAGUACUCUACUCCCCUUACCACGUGUAAGAGAUUUUAUUAUAGUUAGUUCUUAUGGACAAGACAACCUAGUCUUUCUAUACAGACUCUAACCAGAAUACCAAGAGCAAUCCUCUUGGAUUUUUCACUAAGUCCACUAAUAGAACAAUCCUCUGUUAAUGACUCUCUUGUUUCAUACAGUCCUGGACAAUAAGGAUAAUAAGAACAUAUGAGUUUUUACAAGUUUUUGACAGAUGGAAUAAUAUAUCAAACUAUUGAUUGAUCUUCUCCUUUUAAGUAAUCAAUUUUCUUUAUGACAUACAAGUGUUCUGAGAGUGAUAUGGAUGAAACUAUAUGAAUGUAUAUUGAAAAUUCUGAGUAGAAAGUUUCACUAGAAAAUUUAAUCAAGAACACUUGAGAGAAUUUGAAAAGAUGAAGAGAAAGAUUGUUUGAAAUAUUUGUGUAAAGGAGGUAUGUUUAAAUUCUGAAAAAAUGUGUUAUAUAUAAUCCUUAGAAACCCUUCUAAAUGGUCAUAAUUCAUGAAUGGAAUGCAUGCUUCAAGAACACAUUUCAGAAAAUGCUUUCAUGAAAGAAUGCAUUUCUUUCUGCCACUGGUUCAGUGGUAAUCGAUUACCCAAUAUGGUGUAUUUUCAUGAAAGAAUGCAUUUCUUUCUGCCACUGGUUCAGUGGUAAUCGAUUACCCAAUAUGGUGUAAUCGAUUACACCUGAGCCAACGUUAAUAAAUUUGAAAAUUUUAAUUGUGUAAUCGAUAACCUAUAUCAUGGCAACCGAUUACAUGCUGUAAAACUGGUCACAGAAGGCAACACACUUAACUGGUAAUCAAUUACCUCAAACCUGGUAACCGAUUACCAUCAGGGCAGAAACAGAAUGAAGUGAAAAAUAAAUGUAAGGCCAAAUGAAAAUGUUUAAGAGGCCUAAAUGAAACAUGAUAUGUAUGUAUGAAAACCUUAAGCACUUGAAUGAACAUAGAGAGGUUGAGAACUUUAUACCUUAAUAAUUUGAUCAAAUCAAUAGAAAUCUUCAAGACUUGAAAUUCUUUUAUAAGUGAAGCUUGACUUGUGCUUGAGUCUUGAACCAUUCUUUUUGUGAUGCGCAUUUGCUUGUAGAGCAUGUCUUCAUCAAAACACUUUGAGAAGCUUGUCUUCACAUUCUCCCCCUUUUUGAUGAUGACAACUCUUUAUUGAAAGUUUUAUCCAAUCUUUCUUUCUCUAACAAUUGAAAACUCCCCCGUGAUCGAAGCUCCCUCUUGAUCCAUGAUUAAGAGAAUUUUAAAAAAAAAUGCUAGCUGCAUUGUUAGAGAGACAUACAACAUAUAACAACUAAAAUAUAUCUUUUCCCCCUUUGUCAUUAGCAAAAAGGAUGAGAAAGACUAAACAAUAAACAACCAUAUGUUGUAUGAUAAUAUAACAUAUAAUAUAAUAUGAGCACAUACACAAAUAACAAAACAACCAAACACACAACUUAAUACAAAACCAACUUGUUCAUACAUAAUAAUUAAAACCUAAAUUCAAAGACAGGAAAAUUCAGCAUAACAAAAGAAACAAGAAACAAACACAAUAAUUGUUUUAAACACUUCAAUCACUUUCCUAAAUUUCCAUAUUCUCUUCAUCUUCUCCUUGAUAUUCACCACUUUCCUCUUCAUCACUCAUUUCUGGGUUUUGGGAUUUGGUAAGGUUUUCCAAAAGUAUCUUAAUGGAAGCCAUUUCAAAUUUCUGCUCACGAAAAUUACGCAUCAUAGUGGAUUCAACUGAAUAGAUUUUGUUGUAGAGGACUUCAUUGGUGUACCCGUCUUCCGGAGCCAGUGGAGGAGCAUUAGAGGGCUUAUAUUUAUACUUAUACAUGUCAUCCAUGCCCAAAAAGACACCAGUAUUCCUAACCAAAGUGGAAGCAUUAAUCUCACAUUCCUUAGAAGACAUCUUUUUCUUCGGUUCCCGUUUCAAAUCAAUUCCACAGCCUUCCACAAUUUUGGUGAUUAACCUAGCAUAGGGUAAUCCGUCGGUUAAGAAUUAUUGGUGCUUCAUAUAGUACAUGAUAGCGUAUGCCCAAUUUACUUGAAUCUUCUUUUUGAUAGCAUAUAUCAAUUGUAACUCCAAAUCACCAUGUUGGGAAUGAUUUGAGUGUUUUGGAAUCAACACAUAAGUAAUCAAGUAAUGGAGCAUCAUAUCACUCACUGUCAAACUCUUUGUAAACAAAAGUAACCGAGAAAAAGUUGGAUUCUUCUUGCCAAGAAUAGCUUGCUGAGAAACACGAUAGAUAUGAAAUAAAUAAUCCAUCUUAAUGUAACCUUCCCAUUUCGGGACUAACCCAUGGUGAAACGCUUGACCAACAAACGAAAUUCCUAAACAAUUUCCAAAAGCUUCUAAAUCUAAGAUAAUAUCAGUAUUCUUAACUUUAGAAGUUAGGACAUCAUUAUCACCAGGAAUAAUAACUAGAUUUGCAUAAAAAUCUUUAACUAAAUCCGGAUAAAAAAUUCCAGAGUCAGAAACCAUAAAAUAUACUCCUUGCAGUCUCAGAAGCUCACGAAAGUCAAAACUGUGAGAAGGGAAUGAUGAGAGAUUACCAUAUUUCACCGGCAUAAGAGACUGAUUCCUGAAAUGAAAAGUAAGUCUUCUAGUUUUGAGAGAUGGUGCAUGUUGUGCAGCUUCUUGAGGUUCUGAGCUAGCUUCAUCAAUUU